rnacentral:lncRNA from 1 species
GGCCAGGUUCUGGGCGGACUACGUAGACAAGAAGGUAUGUCUUUGCUGUUGAUUUAAAGCCUUUUUUUUCCAUUGAUUCAUGGCGAUUGGCUCAGAUUUUGAUAAUGAUGAGGGAUUUGUCCAAAAUGCUGGGUUCUUCUUCACACAUUCUCUUCUGACAUUAAGUUUUGUGGGCCUUGGGGUCUCAAACUAGAACUUUACUGAUUCUCUUUGCUGCGUGUGCAACAAGACUCCACUUUGCAUUUCUGAUGUGGGUUUUCAGUUCUUUGUUAUAUAUGGGUUUUCAUUUCUUUGUUCUGCUGAAUCUGAAGUCCGUUCUUUCCACCCAAAAAAGCAGAUCUCAAGAAUGCCUUUUCCCUCAAGAAAGGGGAUCCAAAAACCAGUUUUUACAGCACAGUGUUUGGUUUUUUUUUGUUAUCCUGAUGUUCAACAUUUUGCAGAGCAGUUCUUUUAAUACAUGUUUUGUUGCUUUGAUCUCUUUCUUCUCAUUUUCUAAAACCCACAUUGAGGGGAAAAGCUUUAGCAAAUGAUACAUUCUUUCAACUGAUUCUGAUAUUUUUCUGCCACCGGCCCUUCAUUUAAUAUGUUCCUAGUAUAUGAGAUUUCUAUGCUGAAGGGUCCUUAAUAAACUUGUCCAACUAUACAGAAAGUUGAAACUUGAUGAAAUGCUCCAAAAAAAUAACCCUUUUCUCUCUUUGACUUUAUUGUUUUCCACAGCUCUAUGAACUUGGAAGGAAGAUAUGGUCAACCAAAGGAGAAGAGCAGGAAACAGCCAAGAAGGAAUUCAUAGAGUGCCUCAAGCUUCUGGAAGGAGAGCUUGGAGAGAAGCCUUACUUCGGCGGUGAAAAAAUUGGGUUUGUGGAUGUGGCUCUGGUGACCUUCUCUUGCUGGUUUCAUGCAUAUGAGAGCUUUGGAAACUUCAGCAUAGAGGCGGAGUGUCCCAAGUUGAUAGCUUGGACCAAGAGGUGCAUGGAAAAGGAGAGCGUGUCGUCUUCUCUGGAAGACCCACACAAGGUCCAUGGCUUUGUUAUGGGGAUGAGAAAGAAGCUUGGCAUAGAAUAACUAUUUUGUAGUGUUGCUGUGGUAAUAUUAGAUAUAUGUGAGUGUUUGGCUGUUUGCUUAAGUUUUUGCUUUGAAAUUGUAUGGUUACUAUUUGCAGUUGAAACCCCUUUUGGAGGGUUGGUGGGUUUGCUGGAAAGAAAUGUUUUGAAUUUGUUUUCAUUUGUUUUGGACUGGACUAGAGAGGUGUUCUUUGUAUUCCAUCAUUUCGUGUCAUAAACAAGUAUUAACACAAGUUGGAUAAGGCAUGCCUCUGGCCCUUUAUGGUAACGUACAAAGAUAUCAUGGGCCUACAAAGAUAUCAUGGGCUACAGAAUAGGUUAGGGCCCGCUUUUUAAAUCACUUUUUUUAACUAAUAUGUUUGGCAAAAGAUGUUCUUCAAUAAUUUAAUUCAUCUUCCUUGUCGGUCAUUUUAAGUAACAAGAAAAUGAAAAAGAAAUAAGAGAAAAGUUCAAUCACGUUCCAUAAUGUUUGUUUUUGAAAAUUGCUUUUAUGUUAAACAAACAAAAAUAAUUUUUUAAAAUUUUAUAAAAUUUUAUAAAAUAAGGAUGUUUGACAAGUUAUUUUGAAAUUGGUUUUUCUUUUAAAAAAAAAUAAUUUUUCUAUGUUGAUUUUGUAAAAAUAUUCUAAAUUUAAUUAAUAGAAAUUUAAUUGAGGUCUUAUAAAAAAUGAAAUUAGUUUUAAAUUAUAAAUAAAUUAAAAAUAGUAUAAUAUAUCAGCGUGGACCUAUUUUUUUUACGUGCGUCCUCACUCGACGAUGAGACUCGUUUUUUAUUUAUUUGGUGAAAAAUAUGAUUUUUAGAAAAAGAUUUGAAGUCCUCAUUGAUUUUUGUUUUAUUUUUCAAGGGAAAGACAAAAUAAAAAAUAAAAACCCUAAAUAUGAUUUCUGAAGGAAAAAUAGGUUUGUGAAAAAUCGAGUUUGGGUUUGGGGAUCAAGUUACUUAUUAGGAAGGUAUGGUAAUGAGUUAUAACACCCCUCUAAGCUCGUUUAUGUACGACCUCUACUAAAUGAAUUAAGGAAAUUGUGACAAUUAAUUAAUUAAUUAUAGAUACCAAGAAAAAUAAUCAUGUAAAUGAGUAUGUACAAGUCAAGGUGAAAAUUAAUAUACACAAAAAUAAUGAUGAAAUCUAAUUACAAGAAUACACAAAAUAAAUAACAAAAGAAUUAUGCAAAAAUAAUUUAUUGAACUAAAUAAAAAAUAUUAAAAAAAUAGUUUUCAAGAAAUUUCGAAGGAUUUUAUUAAAAAUGAUUUUUAAUUAAUGAUUUUAAUUUUUUUUAUUUACAAAAAAGAAGUUUCAAUUUAUUUUCAAUUAAUGAUUUGAUUCAAUUUCAUUUGUAUUUAAUUUUUUUUAAAAAAAAAGUUAUUUGCACUUAUUAUAUCAAAAGAAUUUAUUACAAAAUUUCAAUUUGGUAAUAAAAAUGAUUUUUACUUGCUUUUACAAAAAAAAUUACAAUUUUAUUUACGAAAGUAUUUCACUUUGUUUUAAUUUGAGAAAAGUGACUUAUACAAAUUAUUAAAAAGAAUAUAACUUUAUUUGCAAAAGAAUUUUUAAUUAAAAAUUAAUUUUUGGGACAACUUUAUUUACAAAAUAAUGUUUGGACAAUUUUUAUUAAACAAAUAAAUUUUUGGACAAUUAUUAUUAAAAAUAAUUUUUCAAAUUCUAUUAAAAACAAUUUUUUUGGAUUUUUCUAAAAGCAUUUUUUUGAAUUUUUAUUAAUAAAAAAAACUUUCUUUUAUUAAAAAGAAUAUUUUAAAAUUAUUAUUUUAUUAGAAUAUAUUUACUAAAUUAUUCCUCUUAUUUAAAUGACAAUUUUGAUUUGUUAAAUAUUUAAUUCUGUAUAUACUCAAUAAAUAUAUACAAACUAAUAUUUACAAGAACUAAUAGAAAUAAAAUCAAACAGAAGUGAGCAAUAAAACGUGUACCCAAAUAAGGUUACAACAAGCUUAAUGUCUCUCUACAACUUUUUUAUUCUUACUUUCUUCCAUGAAAUUUUGUGCUUCACGUGUUAUAAAUUUGUACUCAGCCAAUAGAAUUGCAGAAUAGGCCCAUGCAAAAACAAAAAUAGUUCAAAUGUAAAUAUCCAAAGGUGUACAAAAUCCUUAACAAAUAUUCAAACUCAAAUUCAAAUUUCAAAUUAGUUCGAUAAAUCUUGUCAAUCAAAAUGGACACAAAUUAACAAAUAUAACCUAACAAAAACAUCUCACAUGCUAUAAACCUUAAUCCAAAAAUUUCAAAUUAAUAACCAAAAUACAACACAAUUAGCCAAGCCCAAAAUAUCACAAAAUAAAAUAAAUUCAAUUAGGCCUAAAUUUAAUAUUUCAUAAUCCAAGCCUAAUUUAAUAUACACCAUAAUUGUCCCACAUCCAAAUUAAAUAGUUCAAAUUGGUGAAGCUCAUAUCAAAUAUUCAAGUCAUCAAUCAAAUUUCACCCACAUUGUGGACCCAAAAUCCAUACCUAUAUUAUGGGUCCAAAAUUCAUAUCAAUUAACAAGCCCACAUUAAUAAUACACAUGACCAAAGAAAAUAAUUUCCCAAGCCCAAUCCAAUAAGCCCAAAUAAAUAACAUUAGAUUCAAGUCAAAAUCAAUUACUAUGCAAACAAAAAUAAAAAAAUAAAGAUAAAAAAAUGAAAAUAAAAUAAAGUAAAAAGGAAAUUUACCCUUUUUUUUUAUAACUAUGGGUGGUAGGAUUGCUAGUCGGCAGUGACUGGCAGGUAAUGGCGGGUGGUGGCGGGCAGUGGUUGUCGGUAGUGGUGGGUGGUGGUUGGCCGGUAGUGGCCGUGGAGUGUGGGGAAGGGAAAAGGAAAGAAAAAGGAAGAGAAAAAAAAAUGAAGGAAGAUGGGGAGCGUGUGACAGUGGGGGUUUGUGGAAAAUGGCAGUGUAGAGAGAAGGACUAUGAGAAGAAGAAAAAAAAAAUGGAAGAGAAAAUGGGGACCAUCGUGUGUGAUAGUUGGGGGGAAGAAAAAAAAAAGAAAAAAGGAAGGGAGGAGAUGGGAGAGUUGACCGUGUUUGGUGUGUGGGUCGUGGAGCGGUUGUUGUGUUGGAAGGGAGCCUGAAGAAGAAAUGAUGGAGGAAAAAAAAGUGAAGAGAGGAACGUAGAGAAAGAUGAUAAAAAAAAAAAAAAAAAAAAAAAAACUUGGAGGGGGUAUGGGGAGUGGCUUAGACAUGUAGGAGAAGGAAAUGGGUAAGGGAAGUAGGUGGAGUGGGUAGAAUGAGGGGAAAGAGGAAGAGAGAAGAGAGAAGAGAGUGAAAAUAAAUAAAAUUAAAUUAAAAAUAAAAAUAUAAUAAUAAUAAUAAUAAUAAUAAUAAAUAAAUAAAUAAAUAAAUAAAAAUAAUAAUAAAAAUAAUAAUAAAAAUAAUUUAUAAAAUAAUAAAAACUAAGAAUUAAAGGGUGUAAGUGGGCUAAACAAUUAAGAUGUAAUCAAAAUUUAAAUCUAAGGAUAAAAUUGAGCUCAAUAUCAAUGUAAAAAUAAAAUUAGGACAAAUUUUGGGGUCUACAAUCGGUUUUCAUAUAUUAUUUCUUAUGGUGAUUAGAUCUAUUUACUAGGUUGUAACUUAAAAAAAAAAAAAAAAAACCUAUUAGUAAAUUCAAUGUUACUUGAUUUGAAGUUUAUUCUUUAAUAAAAAAAUUUAUAAAAAUAUAAGUAUGUAUAGAAAAAAAGUAGACUCAUUAAAACCCAAUUUUUAUCCAUAAAUUUUUAAUAUUAACCACUAUUUAAGUUUUAAGUUAUUUAAAAAAAUUACUAAACUCAUUAAUUAAUUUAAUGUAUUAAGUUUUGUUUAAUUUGGAUUUUAUUUGUCUAGUGAAAUAAAUAAAUAAAAAAUAUAGUUUCAUGUAGAAGAGAAACAAUAGAGUCAUUGUAGAUUAGAACUAGAAGUUAUAAAAAAUAUGUAAAAUAUAUAUAAUUAUAUAGCUGGAGUUUAUAUUAUAAAUUAUAAAGUUAAAAAAAAUAUAAAAAACUACCUUCAAUGUAAUUUCUAAUUUCUUUUAAUUAUAAUGUAUAAUCAAAAGUUAGACAAAACAAAAUUGUACACUCAUAAGUUAAAUAAUGAAUAUUUCAUAGCCUCAAAGGUGUAUACAAUUUUACACAUUUUUGUUAUGAUAAAAAUAAUCCAUAGCCAAAAACUAUGAAAGCGAUCAAUUCGUAAUUUUUAUUUUGUUAAUAUUACAUGAUGUUCAUGCAUUUUUUUAAACCAUAUUUAUAAUAAUCCUAUAGCGAUAAAAUAUAACAAAAUCUUAAAUCGUUAUAGUUUUAUUAUAGAAUAUUAACUGGAUAAAUAUUGUUAGAUAAUUUAAUUAAUUUAUUUUAAUAAAUUAAAAUAUUAUUCUAAUAAAAUUAUUUCAAAUAUUAUUCUAAUUUAAAAAUUACUAGACUGUUAAGUCUUGUUUAAUUUUGAGUUCAUUUAUAUAGUAAAAUAAAAUUGGAAAAUAUGAUUUCAUGUAGAAGAAAAAUAAUAGAGUUGUUAUAGACUAAUUUUCAUCCAUAAAUUUUUAAUAUUAAUUACAUCAUUAUUUGAGUUUUAAGUUAUUUCUAGAAAUUACUAAAUUUAUUAAUGAAUUCAACACAUUAAGUUUGGUAUAAUUUUAAGUUUAUUUGUCCAAUGAAACAAAAUUGGAAACAAUAAAGUCAUUCAAGUUCAAUUUUUGUCCAUAAAUUUAUGGUAUUAAUUGGAUCACUAUUUGCAUUGCAAUUUAUUUUUAAGAAUUACUUAGACUUGUUAAUAAAUUCAACGCAUUAAGUCAUACUUGAUUUGGUGAUUAUUUACUAAGUGAAAAAAAUUGUAAAAAUAUGAUUAUAUGCAAAGAAAAAACUAGCCAAGACAUUUAAAUGAAUUUUGGUGUAUGAUAUUCUAAUGUUAGUGAGUUUCAUGACUUUAUAGUACUAACUAAAUCAAUUUUUGACUUUUAAGUUAUUUUUAAAAAUUAGUAAAUUUUAUGUAUAAAGUAUAAUUUGAUUUAGAAUUUAUUUUAUCAAUGAAAAUUUUCUUAAAUUAAAUGAAAUUCAUUAAAACACAUGUAAUUUAAAAGAAUAUUAUAUUUGAAGAUUUUUAGUAUCGGUAUUAGAUCGUAGAAAGAGGUAAAGAAGAAUGAUAUCAUCUUCAAUCUUAUUUGCUUUUUAUAGUUUUUUUAAAUUCCUCUAUAUUUUUCUUUUGCUUUUAAAAAUUGAUGAAAACAAUUUCUACUUGUUUUCUAAAAUAUGUUUUUUAUUUCACUUUAUUUUUAAAAAUUACAAAUAGAAAACAACUAACAAACAAUUUUAUGAAUUUUUAAAAAUAGUUUUUUUUUUAAUUUUUAAAAACAAAAGUUAUUUUUUAAUGAAAUGGCCAAAUGGGCUAAAAACUUUUCAACAGCAAAUUUUGAGAAUUUGGGUCAAGUGCUAUGUGCUCUUGUACAAUCCUCCACUAUUUUUGGCCUUCAUGUCACCGUUGUCAACUUUUACUGUGAAUAAGUUCACGAGCUUAUCUUACUUUAUAUUCGAGAGCAAGGAACAAGAUCUUGAGAGAUGCUUGGUUUGUUUUUUUUUUUGUAUUAAAGAAAUAAAAGAGUAUUCACUUACUAUUCCAUUUUGUACUAAAAAAAUUUGAUAAGACAUUGAUAGGCAUGUAAAUAUUAUAACAUUUAAAUAAACUAAAAAUAUUUUUGUUAUAUUAUUUUAAUUUUAAUUUUUGAACUUUCAUAUUAACGUUCGUUUUAAUUUUUCAUAUGAUUUAAAAUUGAUCAUGGUUCUAACCUUUUACUAGGCUAAAAUCUUUAACUUUUUUAGAUACAUAAAAUAGAAAAUAAAAUAUAUUUUCAUAUAAAUUGUAUUAACAUUUCUUUAAUUAAUUUUUAUAUUUCUUAAAAUACAUAUAUCUUAAAAUACAUAUAUCUUUUUUAAAAAAUAAGUACAUCAUUUAGAAAAAUAGGUACAUCUAAUAUAAAAACAUGUACAUUUCAUUUCAUCGGGGAUUCUUAUCCUCAUUCAACCUAAUUCGGGUGUGGGAUUUCACUUAUGUAGGUCUCAGAAUGCAUUUGAGGUCUUCUUAUACCCUAUUCAACAUGAUAUAACUUUGUGUACAUGUUUUAAAAAAAUGUAUAAAAGUUUAGAAAAGUAUUUACAUCUAAUUUGAGUUGAAUCAUUCCCUUAUUCGACCUAUUUUGAAUCUAAAUUUUAACUUCUAUAUACCUCAUGAUGCAUUCCCAAACCCUAUUUGGCAUGGUAGAACCCUAGGUACAUAUGUUACAAAAAUAAGUAUACUCUUAAGAAAAAGUACAUCUUUUACAAUAAUAACUAUAUUCUUAAAUAUAUAUAUAUAUAUAUAUAUAUAUAUAUACAUUCGUAAGAAAAAUGCAUAUAUUUGAUUUGAGGUUAACCAUGAUCCAAUUCAACCUAAUUUGGAUAUAAGAUUUGACUUAUAUAUGCCUCAAAAUGUAUUUUAUGCCUUCCAAAACUUCAUGUAGCAUGGUAGAAGUAUAGGUUCUGAAAAGGUGAAUCUCAAUAGUGGAAUACACCUAAAGGGGGGUUGAAUAGGUGUUUUGACCAAUUGAACAAAAUCUCAACUCAAAUUAGUAAACCUUAAAACUUCUUGAAUAUUUUUCUUCUCUUCACAAAGUCUAAAAAACAAAUUAUAAAUCACAUGAAUAUAUGAAUGCAACAACACUCCCCAACAAUAUUCAAAUGAAAUUCACAUGCACAUGAUCUAAUACUCCUAAACCCAAAUCAACUUAAAACUAAAUUAUGAUAAAAACAAGAUCAAUAUACAUCAAAAUAUCAAUGAUUAACAAUCAGAAAUGACUUCAAAGAUAAUUCAUAGCCAUUUCUCUUUAUCAUUCAAUCAAAUACUAGACAAUCAAAAUUAUAAUAAAUUGUAGAAACUAAAAAAUGAUGCGAAGAAGAGAAAACGAGACAAUGAGACACCAUAAAUUUACAUGGAAAAUUUUUGAAGAGAUAAAAAACCAUAAGCCUACUACCAAUCAAAAACAUCCACUAUGAAGAAUAAAAACUAAAUACAAGGUUUUACCUAGCUCAAGCCAACUAAUCCUUCCCGGACCACUUGACUAGUACCUUCACUUUUAGUUUCUCACAUUCUUAUUUUAGAGCACAUUUGGAGUCUACACCAAGCUCGAUCUCGACCUCUUAUUGAUUUCACAUAAGAAAAAAAUGGGUUUUUGUGCAAAACCAAGAGAAUUAGAUAUGAAUGUUUCAAAAAUCAACCCAUGCUCAUUUUCAAAAAAUCCAUUUUAAAAAAAUUUCUUAGAAAACUUGGAUGGAUUUUCUUCGUAGGUAAACACCCUUAAAAUGGUGAGGAAAGAAAAAACUCUCUCACAACUAUUGUAGUCACCACUUAUAGAGAUGGAAGAGAUUUGAUUUUAAAUGAGAAAGAAACCCUUAAUCGAAGGGUUGAAAGUUGAUCUUAAAAAUAGGUUGGUUGGAUCAAUCUGCCUCUACACUUAGAUCAAUCCAAAAACAGGGGAACAAAAGCCUUGUGCUAAUAAUAUUUCUCCUUGUUUUCUUAACUCAUUUAAAGAUGAAAAAACAGGGUUGAUUCAUAUUCAAUCACCACACUCGACUAUAUACCUCAGCCUCUUAGCAAAGUUUUAAUCUUCAAAGGUCAAGUAGUCCGAAGAGGGAUUUGUAAACUGAGUUAGGGGACACUUAGGAAUUUUGUUUGAAAUUACCAACCUAGCUAAACACUCACAAUCUCCUCCUUUGGCAAUUCUGGGACAAAACUCUUUACAAUACGAAUGAGUACAAGUAAGUAAGUCCCACCCAACUCUCAUACAAGGCCACACACUCACUCAAAACCUCACCAAAGGUGCUACAAAUCCUAUAAAUAAAUCUCAAGAAAAAACUUUAGGAGCACUUGCACAUAUUACCAAGACACUUCCAUAAGUUUCGAAUGAAUUGAUACACAAAUAUCCACAUAUAUCCACAAAAUCACAUGUCUAAAGAUAGUUAAUAUGCAUUCAUGAGUUCAAAAACGUGUCAAAUAUCCAUCGAUAUACAAAAAGGGUGAUCAUGAUCAACAUAUCAAAUAUCCAAAGCAACAAAACACAAAGAAACCGUCAUGAUCAACUACAUGUCAUAUCAACAUCCAUGUAAAAUGUAAAAUGUUUCCUAAUUUUUGUCCCAGUAGGAGACAAAAGGUCAUAAUCUCCCAUUUUCUAUCUUAGAAAAAAGACAAAUGAAUGAGAAUUCAAUAGCAUAAUAUCUCACAUCCAAAUCAACAAACAUCCACUUUUCAACAAAAUGUCAAAUACCCAAAAAUCAAAUAUUCACAUAUUACCAAGUAUCCAUAUCAACAUUUCAGAAAAAAAAAAUUAUAGGAUACAAUAAUCUCCUCUUGACUCCCAUCACAAGAUAUAAGAAUCUCUCCCUGAAUCCUAUCACAUGGUUUCAAUUAAAAACUUUCAAAAAAUAUGCUUUAUCACCAUGAAAAUAGAUUUCAAGCAUGAAAAUUUAUGGAAACCACUCAAAAUGAACAACCAAAGCCUAGGAUUAGCAUUCCUAGAAACUAGGAACACUCCAAGGCAAAAAUGAAAUCUCAAACUAUUAAAACUAUUGUGAGAAGACUCCACACACAAAAAAUAAAUAAAUAAAAUCCAAAUGAGACUAAGGGCUGAUUGGAAUUUCCAGAAGUGUAGAUUGUGUUGUGUUGAUUGUGCUGUGAAAAACAUAGUCCUAAGGGUUGAUUGGAAUUUCCAACUGCUGGAACGGAAUCCCAACUACACAAGAUACAAUCUAGUGACGCACAUUGGAGGUCCUAGCCAACACAUACUAUGUAGAAGGCAAUUUCUGACAACACCGACGCACUAAGAAGAGACACACAGACCGACGACAUGAGUUGGACAACACAACAAUUCUAGGCUAUUCGACGAGGCUGUUUGGUGGGAUUGGCUAGACUUGAAACGCUCACCAGAUAGGGAAGUCUGACUAUAAAGGUUUCCAAUGGUAGAGACUUAUGACGGUAGUGGUCGGAAUGAUGAACCGACGAUGAUGGCUAAAGAGAAGCAUAGAGUAGAGAAGUUUCCUUCUUUAGAACAAAAGACCUAGGGCUUUUGAAAGAAAUGAAUUGGGAAAAACUGAUUUAGGGAUUUUGACUUUUUUACUUUUAGUUACGAAAAUACCUCUCAUCCAUUAAACCAUAUGAGCAUAACUAGUUGGGGGCAAAAAUGGAAAUUUUCACAAAUGCAUAAGUGGUAUCGAUUUUAGUGGAUUGAUCUAGCUUUCGAUUGUGCUCUCGAUGAUACACAGUCACAUAGGUUUGAACAUACCAAAUUUGAAAAAAAUGGUUAAGUGUGUGAGAGACAAGUACUAGGUGGUAUCGACCUUGGUGGAUCGAUCUAAGAUUCAUUCAAGGGCUCUCGAUCACUACAUUGUGCACACAAUGGAUCGAUCCACAAAUUCAAUAGAUCGAUCGACACCUAAUUGAAAAAUGACUUAGGCAAAAACUAUUGAAAAAUCACAAGAAAUACACCAAUAGGCUUUCCAAAAACUGAAAAUUGAUUGACCAAAGAUGAGAUACAAUAGGAUGGCAUACUUAUAUUUCAAUUAAUGAGUUAGAGUUGAUUCACAUUGAACAAAAAUGCUUCCAAGAACUUAACAAUGGACAAAAUUAAUAAACAUAGAGAUUGAAGUACUUUCCAAAUUUAUCAAAUGAAUAGGUAAAAAACAAAUGAUUAUCAACACUCUAACAAGGAAGCUUAAGCUAAAAAAAAAAACUCACUCAUGACACCAUAAAACGGUGAAAAUGUUAAAUAAUUUCCACUUAUAAACCUAUAUUCAUUUAUGAGCCAAAAAUCAUUUUCAAGAUACUCUUCCUUUCUAGAGAAAUUCAAGAUAAUGUUCCAAGAAGUCAAUUUGCAUCUCUCUUGGCUAGAUUUCUGUUUAACAUGACCUAAUCACAUCCCUUUAAUAAAAUUCAUACACUAUUUGCUUUUCAUAUUUAGCAUUGAAAGGAAUACAAAGCUAUAAGUUUUACCUUAAAGAUCAGUUUUUGACUUGAGGAUCUCUAAGGACGCCUUUACAACAUAACAACAUAAGAGAUGUCCCACUUUUGCAAGGGAGGCUUUUUAAUUCUUGAAACACUGCCAAAGAGCCAUAUCCAUUCCGGGAAACUUCAUAUUUUCUUUUUCUUUUCUUUUUCAUUUUUUUUAAAAAUUUAAUUUCAAAGAGAGGACAAACAAUCAAAGAUUGAUAUUCUCAACCUCUCAAGGAUAUUCCAGGUGUCUUUACUCACUCUUUAAUGCUCAUUAAAUGGGUAUAAGUUUACAUUUAGACUUUAAAGAGCAUUAUUCACCAUUUAUGCAAACACAAGGUCUAACAAUGAGCUUUUUCUCACUUAAUAGAAAUGAAGCUAAUCAUUUGUAGUUUAUCUAACCAAAUCAAAAUAGCAAGGAUUCAAUAUCAUGUUUAUCAAACAAGCCAUGGAGAUAAAGACAUCUUGAAGCUUUUAAGAUCAUGAUGAGUUAAUUUAACUUUUAAACAAAAUGAAUAAGCAUGUCACUCUCAUGAACUCAACAAUUGUUGAAAAUUUAUGAAAAAUGGAGAAAAGAUUGAACCAAAACAAAAAGAACAUCAAGUUGAUGAUAUUUGGGAACUUAGGAAGACAACUAGGACUCAAGAAUAUGCAAGAGGAGUCCUAGACAAGUUUUAGAGGCAAUUAAAUAGAGAGUAUAUAAACCUAUGGGGCUCCUAAGUGAUUCAAACCUAGAAAUGUCCAAAGGUUUAGUAACAUUGUUAGCAAUUUGACUUUCUAUAGGGAAAAACUCUAGUGAAACAACCUUGUCUUCUACCAAGUCUUGAAUGCAGUGAUGCUUAAUGUCCACAUGUUUUUAUCUAGAAUGAAGAACACGGUUCUUUAACCUAUCAAUAACAUUGGCAUCAUCAAAUUCCUCCCCAUCAAUCUUAACUUUUACAAUGGGAUGCUCUUUUUCAUUUUGCAACAAUCUAUGUUGUAGCAAGUGAUUAACACAUACAAUUUUAGAACUUCCACACACAAGAGAAGAGGAUGAAGGAGAUUUUUUACUAACAACAUAGCACUUAUCACAAAUUCUCAAGCCCAUCAUCACACAUACAUCAUUCAAGUUAAACACCUUGCAAAAAUUUUGUGAAAAUUUUACAUUGAACUCAUUCCCACACAUUUGGCUUAUUCUAACUAAGUUAGCCUUUAAACCUUCAUAUAAGACCUCUUCAAGAUUAGGAAUUUCGGGGGCACAAAUGGUACCUUUGUCUUUCACCCUAGCCACAUUACCAUAUCUAAAUGUCACAUUUCCUCCAUCAAAUUCAGUGAAUGAAGUGAACAAAGAUUUAUUUCCAGUCAUAUGAUGUGAGCAUCUACUAUCAAGAUUCCAUGAGUGUGACUCACUAGCUCUAAGUACGUUAUGGACAACAAAACACUUCAACUCAUUCAUUUACACCCAAAUUUGUUUAAUAUUUGAGACUUGUCUUUUCAUUCAAAGUGCUUCCUUUCAACUCACCAUUAUGAGGGAUCUUUGACCACUUCUUGGACACUCUCUUAUUCUCAUUCAAUAACCUAUUCUUCAAAGUAUAACAUUCAUUCAUUAGGUUGGUAAAUUUCUUUUGAAAAUUAUCAGACAAUCUUGCAUAACAUCUAUAAAAAAUGUGUCCCAUUUUGCCACAAUGAUUGCAAUGAAACUUGAUUUGAGAAUGAGUUUUCUUAGGAGAUUAUUUUUCACAAGGCUUAACAAAAAUUGUUUUACCACUACUUGGAGUAGUAUUUGCAUCAACAAAUCCUAAGCCUUGUUUAUCAAAAAAUUUACACCCUAAAUUGAUCAACUCAUUAAGUCUCUUAGAGCUAGGAUGUGACUCUUCCUUCUUAAGACUUAACCCAUCCUUGAACAUUUGAUUCACUUUUCAAUACAUAAUAUUUUUUCUUCACUUCCAAAUGUUCAUUUUCAAGAAAUCCAAUUUUGUCAAGCAAAACCUUAUUUUCUCCCUUCAAGACAUCAAUCUCAUUGAUUAGAAUAUUCUUAGAAGCCUUCCACUUGACUUGUUCUUGUUUAAGGCUCAAGCACUCCUUAUACAAAGUCUCAUAUGCCGUGUCAAAACUCAUGUCAUCAUCAUUGGAGUCACUUGACUCAUGACUCACUUAUCACUUAAGACCUCUUUCUUGAGUGGUUUCUCAUUGACACUUGCAACAAAGGCUAUGAAGUUAGUGCAUUUUUCACUUCCAUUGGAUUCUUUUUCACUUGAUUGACAAGAUUCUAUGUUGCUUCAAGUGACUUGCAUGACCUUCUUUCCUUUUUUUCUUUGAGGGACAUUUGGCGGCAUAAUGUCCAUUUCCUCUACAUUUAAAGCACUCAAUCUCCAACUCUUUUUUCACACAUUUCUCCAUAUCCUUCUUUUUUUUCUAAUAGAGUUCCUCCAUUUUUACCAUCAUUUGAUUCUUUCUUGGAUUUUAUGAAUUUCAUGUACUUCUUAAUUUUUUUAGUAAACUUAGUAAGCACACCAUUUGAUAUUUUCUCAUCAUCCUCACUUUCGGAACUUAGGGACUCUUCUUUAAUAGUUUUUAAAGCAAUUCCCUUAGCUUUCCUAGGUGAUACAAGCGUCAUCUCAAAGGUUUGGAGGGAACCUACAAGUUCAUCUAUCUUCAAGGAAUCCACAUCCUUAGACUCUUCAAUGGUGGUAACCUUAGCUCUAAAUCUCUCUCGAAGAGAUCUUAAAAUUUUUCUAACCACCUUAGUGUUAGAGACGGAUUCACCUAGAUUGAAGUUAGAAUUCACUAUAUCCAUCAAUUUUGCAUGAAAUUCUCCAAAAGUUUCAUGGUCAUCCAUCCUAAUGGUCUCAAACCUAGAUGUCAACAUUUGAAGCCUGGACAUUUUUACGACAUUAGUUCCUUCAUGAGUCACUUGGAGGAUAUCCUAAGCCUUCUUUAACCAAAGUGCAUGUGGCAAUCCUAUGAAAUUCAUUCGUACUAAUGGCAUUGAAGAUGGAGUACAUGGCUCUAGCUUUAUUCUCACUUGCUUCAUUUUCACUUCUAUCACAUUCCAAUUUUGGCUUGAUAACAUUUGUUAGUUUACCUUCUCUAUCUAACACCUUAGGUGGAGACUAACCAAAUUCAAUGACAUUCCAAACUUUUUCACUUUGCAUUUUGAGAAAAUAUUGCAUUCUCACUUUCCAAUGAGAAUAAUUUUCACCAGUUAAGAAUGGUGGUCUCCUAAUGGAAGAUCUCUCUUAAUGAGGUUCCAUGAUUGAGAUUUAAGGACCGAAAAUGAUUUUUUCUUUAAAAACCCUCUCUGAUACCAAUUGAAAAGGUGAAUCUCAAUAGUGGAAUACACCUAAAUGGGGGUUGAAUAGGUGUUUUGACCAAUUUAUCAAAAUCUCAACUCAAAUUNNNNNNNNNNNNNNNNNNNNNNNNNNNNNNNNNNNNNNNNNNNNNNNNNNNNNNNNNNNNNNNNNNNNNNNNNNNNNNNNNNNNNNNNNNNNNNNNNNNNAAAAAAUGCACACUCUCUCACAAAGAAUGUAAAUUUUUCAAAAAAAAAAAAAAAAAAAAAACUUUCUUUUAUGGGGGGGCGCGGUGCUAUACAUUCUUAUAUAGGUAUAUAUAUAAAAAUAUAGAGACCUCACAGAGAAUGUGAGGGGUUCCUGUUCCUUGUGGGUCACUUCUAAAUCCUACACACACCCCUAAGAAACACACACACACUUUUUUUAUGGUGAACCACGACAAUAUACAUCCUUAUUUGGAUCUCUCUAUAAACAUAUAGAAGUGUGGGAGUGUGUGAGGCUCUCCCUUAUUUGAGUGGGCGUUUCUAAAACCUAUAUACAAAUUUUUUUACAUAUAGAAAUAUGAGAGGUACACGUCUAUUAUCUUUUCAUACCAUAUCUAUAUCACUCACUCUCUCUCUCACGUUUGUUUUGUGUGUAUAUAUAUAUAUAUAUAUAUAUAUAUAUAUAUAUAUAUAUAUAUAUAUAUAUAUAUAUAUAUAUAUAUAUAUAUAUAUAUAUAUAUAUAUAAAGUAUAUCCUUUUUAGGUUGUGCCUUUGAAUUAUUCCACUUNNNNNNNNNNNNNNNNNNNNNNNNNNNNNNNNNNNNNNNNNNNNNNNNNNNNNNNNNNNNNNNNNNNNNNNNNNNNNNNNNNNNNNNNNNNNNNNNNNNNCAAAGAUGAUUCAUAGUCAUUUCUCUUCAUCAUUCAAUCAAAUAGUAGACAAUCAAAAUUAUAAUAAAUUCUUGAAACUGAAAACUGAUGCUAAGAAGAGAAAGAGAGACAAUGAGACACCAUAAAUUUACAUGAAAAAUCUCCGAAGAGAUAAAAAACCAUGGGCCUAUUACUGAUUGAAAACAUCCACUAUGAAAAAUAAAAUCUGAAUACAAGGUUUUACCUACCUCAAGCCAACCAAUCUUUCCCAAACCACUUGACUAGUACCUUUACUUUCAGCUUCUCACCUUCUUCUUUCGAGGCACACUUGGAGUUUGUACCAAGCUCAAUCUCGACCUCUUCUUGAAUUCAUACAAGAACAAAAUGGGUUUUUGCACAAAACUGAGAGAAUGAGAGAUGAAUGUUUCAGAAAUCAACCCAUGUUCGUUUUUAGAAAAUCCAUUUUUUUAAAAAAAUUAUUGGAAAACUUGGACGGAUUUUCUUCAUAGGUAAACACCCUCCAAAUGGUGAGGAAAGAAAAAACUCUCUCACGGCUACUACAGUCACCACUUCCAGAAAUGAGGGAGAUUUGAUUUUAAAUGAGAGUGAAACCUUAAUCCAAAGGUUGAAAAUCGAUCUAAAAAACAUGUUAGUUGGAUCAAUUUACCCCUAUACCUAGAUUGAUCCAAAAACAGGGGAACAAAAGCCUUGCACCAACAAUAUUUCUCUCAGUUUUCUUUACUCAUUUAAAGAUGAAAAAUAGGGUUGAUUCACAUUCAAUCACCACACACUCAACCACAUACCUUGACCUCUUAGCAAGUCUUAAUCUUCAAAGGUCAAGUAGUUCGAAGAGGGAUUGGUAAACCAAGUUAGGGAACACUUAGGAAUUUUUUUCGGAAUUUCCAACCUAGCUAAACACUCACAGGUUCAUUUUUUUAGAAACAUAUAACACCUUAAGAAAAAUAUGUACAUUUGAUUUCAACUUAACAUGACAGAGUCACACUCAUUUGGGUCUAAGAUUUGACUUAUGUAUGCUACAAAAUGUAAUUAAGAGCUUCCCAAACCUCAUUUGACAUGGUGGAACCCUACCUAAGGUACAUCUUUUACAAAAAUACAUACAUUCUUAACAAAUAUAUAUAUAUAUAUAUAUUUUGAAGAAAAAUACUUACAUUUUUUUCAAGCGAACUGUGUGUUGGCGUCGUAGAUCUAAGGAACGGAAACAAUACGAAUUUAUUUAUUUAUUUUUUUAAAUUGAUCUUUAGGGUUAAAGUGCUAACCUUUAGGUUUGGAUGUUUCAGACCUUAAAUUCCAAGUGUUGAAGAUGACAUUGAAGUUGUUGGAAGUCUCGUAAACCCAUGGUCUUUUGCUUGAUGACUCAACUUUAUUCUUGGCACAUUUUUGAUAGGAAGGAAAGAAAGGUGGAGGCUAGAGCUCUCUUUAUCUCUAAAUGGUGGAAGGAAAAAGUGAUGAAGACUCUAACCCCUAGGGGGUAUUUAUAGGGUUCCUAACUAAGCUUAAGUGACUUGAGCCCACAUGGGCUUGGGUAACUUAAUUUAGGCCAAAAUGGAUCCUAAUUGAUUAAUUAACCCAAUAGGGCCUACUAAUUAAUUAAUUAGCUCAAUCUAGAGACUUUGUUCACUUAUCCUUGUGCAAUCUUGUAUAAUUACCAAAACACCCUUAUGCACAAAAGUAAACCUAUAGUCAAUUCGACCCUCAUAACUAUGCCAAAAAGAUAUAUAAGCUCAGAGCGGGGACCACUAGGAUCCAUAAGAGUACUAACUCCCUCAGGAUCCAAUUAUGAAGUUGAUUCAACAUCUUAUUACAAAGAAUCAACCAAACUCCAAUAUUCUAUGUAAAUAACAACAAGACACUACGUGCUCGGGUCUAUGACCUAGUAUCCAUUGUGUUCAGUCUUCCCAUGAACUGGUGUUUUAGUCUAACAAGGUGAAAGCUAUCAACCUUUCAAGACUCUCUACCAUCCUUGUGUUACAAAUCCUCCUAUUGUAUAUUCAAUUGACAUGUCUUAGCUUUCAAAGAGCUUAUGUCAAGUUCUACUUAAGGAACUAUUAUGACCAUAGUUUCCAUGAACACAUCCCCUUAAGAUCACCCAAGGGGACACAUUGUCUCAAUCCCAUGAGAUAUCAUGGUGUCUAUUGAGAAUGCCUAUUGUUACCGACUUCCAUUAACAGUGACCCAAUCCAUAGGGAAUAUAUGAUCAACUUACGAUCUCACCCAUAGGUAAAAGUCAUUGCUAAUUUUAGUACAAUCUCAAUAUUCUCUCAAGGUUGAGAGAUAACACAAUGAAGUAUCUUGGUGAGGUCAUGACUACUUGAUAGUCUUAAGUCAUGACUCAUCAUAGGUCUUGUCCAACGUGUAAUCAUACACAGUAGUGUACUCACCAUGGGAAACCCAUCCCAAUAACGAAGACCAACCAUCCCUCCAAUUAGGAGGUGGUGCACUACAACCUCUAAUGGGUUGCCUAGACCCAUAAACCGGUUGUGAACAAGUCAAUUAUUUGCAAGGAACCCAUGACUUAAAGAUCUUCUAUGCAACUCCUAAUGCACCUAAGUCAUGUACAAUGCAAAAUAUGUUGACAAGACUUCUCAUAAAAUAUAAUACAUGGAAUAAAGAUAGAUAAAAGUGAAAUGGGAACAUCAUUAAAUAAAUAAGGAAUUUCAAAUUUAAUACACCAUGUUAUGCUUUUAAGAGCUCUAUCUUAAGACUAUAAUCCUAUUUGACCUUAUUUAGGUCUAGGUAUUCACUUAUGGAAGCCUGAGAAUGAAUUAAAGGUCUUUCCUUACCUUGUUAGGCUUUUCUAAACCAUAAGAACAUCCUUAAGAAAAAAUACAUAUAUUUUUAUGGAAAACAUGUACGUUCUUAAAAAAACAAAAUAUGUGCGUUUUUUUUAAAGGAGAUUGUGACCUUAUUUUGCCUUAUUUAGGUUUUAAUAUUAACUUAUGGAAGCCUUGUAAUAAUUUUGAGGCUUCCCAUUCCUCGUUGGUCAUUUUUAAAGUCUACGUACAUCUUUAAGAAAAAUAUGCACAUUCUUAAACAAAGUAUGUAAAUUCUUCAAAAAAAAAAAAAAAAAAAACCUUUUCUUUUAAGGUGGACCAUGGUUCUAUUCAUUCUUAUUUAGGUCUAAAUAUUAAAUUAUAGAAGCCUCAUAAUGAAUUUGAGGUCUUCCUGUUCCUUGUAGGUCAUUUCUAAAUCCUACAUACAUCCUUAAGAAACAUACAUGCAAUUUUUUUAAGGUGAACCAUGACAAUAUACAUCCUUAUUAGGAUCUCAAUAUUAACAUAUGGAAGUGUUGGAAUGUUUGAGGCUUUCCCUUAUUUGAUUGGGCAUUUCUAAAACCUAUGUACAAUUUUUUUAACAUAUGGAAAUAUGAUAGGUACAUGACUAGUAUCUUUUCAUACCAUAUCUAUAGCAUUCAUUCUUACUAUCAUGUUUGUUUUGUGAUUAUAUAUAUAUAUAUAUAUAUAUAUAUAUAUAUAUAUAUAUAUAUAUAUAUAUAUAUAUAUAUAUAUAUAUAUAUAUAUAUAUAUAUAUAUAUAUAUANNNNNNNNNNNNNNNNNNNNNNNNNNNNNNNNNNNNNNNNNNNNNNNNNNNNNNNNNNNNNNNNNNNNNNNNNNNNNNNNNNNNNNNNNNNNNNNNNNNNUCAAAAAAAAAAAAAAAAAAAACCCUUUCUUUUAAGGGGGGGCACGGGUCUAUUCACUCUUAUUUAGGUGUAAAUAUAAAAAUAUAGACGCCUCACAAAGAAUGUGAGGUCUCCCCGUUCCCUGUGGGUCACUUCUAAAUCCCACACACACCCCUAAGAGACACACACGCACUUUUUUUAAGGGGAGCCACGACACUAUACACCCCUAUUUGGGUCUCUCUAUUUACAUAUGGAGGUGUGGGAGUGUGUGAGGCUCUCCCCCAUUUGAGUGGGCGCUUCUAAAACCCAUGUACACUUUUUUUAACACAUGGAAAUAUGAGAGGGACACGUCUAGUGUCUUUUCUCACCCUAUCUAUAGCACUCUCUCUCUCUCUCACGUGUGUUUUGUGUGUAUAUAUAUAUAUAUAUAUAUAUAUAUAUAUAUAUAUAUAUAUAUAUAUAUAUAUAUAUAUAUAUAUAUAUAUAUAUAUAUAUAUAUAUAUAGAUAUAUCCUUUUUAGGUUGUGCCUUUGAAUUAUUCCACUUCUAAUGGUUUGAAUUGUUUUUUCUAUUCUAAUGACUAUAAUUACCAUGGUACCAAGAAUUAUGUUUACCACGACCAUGAUUGUGUCCUUAGCCUUGUUCACGUCCAAGUCCAACUCAAUGUCUAGGAGCUUGGACGGAUGUGACAGUUGCUUCUAGCAAUGACACAUACCUAAUAGUAUGAGGUUGAUGAUUCUUCGGUAGAAGUUCAUUAUUUUGUUUAGCCAUAAGAAGACAUUAAACUAAUUCAAAAUAUUUAGUGAAAUGAUGUUCUUGAUAUCGUUGCCAUAGGAGUACAUUCGAGGCAUGAAAAAUGGUGUUCAUUAUUCUUUAAUGAUUUUUUCUCCAUAUAAAUUGUGAACAACUUUUGAAUAAAGUCGAGUUGUGGUCAUUGACAGACUUGAAAUUUUGUAAUCUCAAGUGCAUCUAAUCAUGAUGUGCUUUUGGAAGGAUUACAAUCUCGUGGUGGCCAUAUCAUUAUGUUAUAUUAUUCCAAAGGAUCAAAGUAUCAUUCCAUUAGAUUAUUUCAAAGGAUGAAAAUUCUUUGAUUGUAAGGAAUUCACCUUUUAUUCCUUCAUCAAUGUGAUAAUGAAGGAAUAUUAAUGCUCUAGUACGAUCUUGUGAGGAUGCCUCAUUUUAUUUUUUAAUGGUCUUUUCAAGAUUCAUAUUGUUUAGGUGAAUUUUAGCAUCUAGAAUCCAUAUAAAUAGUUUGCCUGAAAUAGGGAGUGUAACAAACUCAAACUUGGUAAGAUUUGACAUUAUUUGAAAACUAUAUUUGAAAUAAUUUAAUUGGAAUAAUAUUUCAAUUUACCAAAAUGAAUUAUAAAUAAAUGAAUAAAAUUAUCUAACAAUAUUUUAUCAGGUUAAUAUUCAUUAAUAAAAACAUAACGAUUUAAGAUUUUGUUAUAUUUUAUCUCUAAAGGAUUAUUAUAACUAUGGUAAAAAAAAUGCAUGAACAUCAUGUAGUAUUAACAAAAUAAAAAUUACGAAUUGAUAGCUUACAUAGCUUUUGGCUAUGGAUUAUUUUUAUCAUAACAAAAAUGUGUAAAUUUGUAUAUAUCUUUAGGCUAUGAAAUAUUCAUUAUUUAACUUCUAACUAUACAAUUUUGUUUUGUGUAACAUUUGGUUAUAUCAUUAUAAUUAAAAGAAAUUAGAAAUUACGUGUAAGUCAUUCUUUAUAUUUUUAUAACUUUAUAAUUUCUCAUAUAACCUUUGGCUAUACAAUUGUACAUAUUUUACAUAUUUUUUUAUAACUUCUAGUUGUGAUUUUUUUUCAUAAUUUUUGUCUAUAAAAAAAAUAUUUUCAAGUUUCUUCAUCGAAAAAAGGAUAAAUUAAAUAGAAAAUAAUACAAAAGUAGAAGUUUAUCACAUACCUUUUAGAGGAGAAAAAAGAUAUUUUAUGAGAAUAAGUUUGUCCUUUUAGUGUUUGAAUCUUAUACAAAAACUUAUAAUAAGAGUUUUCUUUUGGAGAGACUAGAAUUAGAGAAGAGAUAGAGUUCUAAAAUAACUUUGAGGUAUCCAUUUCAUUGACCCAAGUUUCCUAUUUAUAAGAGUUUGAAAAAACUAGGAUUAAUUAUAAUAUUUAAUUCUUUAUGGGGAAAAAGUAAAAAAUAAAAAAGGCUUUUAAUCAUUAAUUAAGAGUACUUGCUUAAAUACAAAAUUUCACAAAAAUUUAAACUAAAUUCCUUUAAAAAAGAAUAGAUAACUUGUUUUAAAAAAUAGUUAAACUAUGUUAAUUUUAUAUAAUUUGAGUGAGAAAUAAAUUUAUUAUAAAUUGACAAAGUUGUCAUUCACAAAAAGCAUCAAAUAUAUUUGAUUUUUUUUUUCAUUUUCAUUUUUCAUUUUUUUAAGGAAAAAUCAGAUUUAAAUUUUUUUCAUAAAUUGAUAGCUAAAAGAUAAAUUUACAAAAUUUCAAAUCCCCACAUGUUUCCAUUAUUUUUACCCCAUAAAUUAUCCCAUCCUUAAUAAGAUUGAAUUUUGCAAAUUAUUAUUGAUUACUCAUUCAAAAAUAAAAAUAAAUUACACUAAAAAUCAUAAAAUUUAAAUUAGAAAAAUAUUUAAUAUAAAUUUUAAAAAUUCAGCUUUAUAAAAAAUAAAAAUAAUUAUCAAUUCUAAUAAGAUUUUUUUAAUCAAAAUUCUAAAGCAUAAUUCACAUUCAUCUAAAUAUUUAUUAGAAUUAAUAAUUUUUAAAAAUAUAAAUUAAAAUUUGAUACCCCUUCGGAGAUAAAAUUCCAAAAAUCAAUGAAUUAAUUUAGAAAAGAAUACAUAUUUCAAUCUCAAAUCUUCAAAUCUAAACAUAUACUAACUUAGAAAAGUUCUAAUAGUUUCUAACAAGUCUAAGUGGGUAUUUGGUAAAUCAAUUUAAUAACUUAAUUCAAGUUAUUAAAUAAAUUAAAUAUAGUUGGUAAAAUAAUUUAAUGGUAUGACUUAAAGUAAAAAACAACUUUAAGUAAUAAGUAAAAAUAAUUAAUUUAUUCUUAAAUUCAUGUUUUCAUUUUAUCUUUUUACCCUCAUUUAUCUUAGUUCCACGAUUUAUUUUGCUAUUAUACAACUUCCAUCAUUACUUGAUCUCAUUUACCCUCAUUAUAAUUUAUGGGGGUAAGUAUAUUAAUUUGAUGAUUUAGAAUAAAUUUUAAAUUAAUUUUAUUAAAAAAUCUUAAUAUUUAAAGUAAAAAUUAAGUAAUAAGUUUUAAGUCAAUAACUUCAAUAUAAUUUUACUUAAAAUCAACUUAAGUCAUUGAGUAAUAAUUAUUGAGUUUUACCAAACACCCCAUAAUUAUACUUAUUAUCAUACUACCAAUUUCUUAUCAAUUACAUAAUUAUUUAUUAUAAAAUUUUAAUAUGUUAAUGAAUUAUGAUAUUUAAAUAUUUAAAAAUAUGUUGAUUGCAAACUAAUUUAACAAGAAAUAAAAUAAUAUUAUUUUGUAAAUAUUUUUGUAAUGUAAAAGAUAAGUAAUUUAAUAUUUUUUAACAUUUACUAAUAAUUAAAAUAUAAAAAAUUUAAAUAUUUAACAAUACUUAAUUUAUUCAAAUUUAAAACAAAUUUAGAUCUUAGAUAAAAAUACAAUCACCACUGAAAUUUUAAAUAUUUAAAAUACACAUAAAGUUUAAAUAUUUAUUUAAUUUCAGGAAUCUAAGAACUAAGGAAGGGACCAAUAGUGACUUGUCGAUCUAAAAGUAUGCAAGUUCUAUUUUCUUUUCCCUACAAUAUCAUUUUUUUCCUUGCAACAUCAUUUUUGUGGUGGAAAUUAUGCGGAGGACCAGUGUACUUAAUUGACAGGGCUGGCGAAAGCGAUGACGUGGAAUGAUCAAAGCAAUGAGAUGUCGUGGAAGCAACCAACUAUCGGGACGCUUCUAUAUUUUACCAUGCCAUAACAAAAGUUUCCAUAAUUCGCAAGUUCUGGAGAGAUACGAAACCGAGAUAGAAUAUAAUUUAGAAAGGAAAAUGAAAAUGAAAGCUGAGAUAAGGAAUGAGCAUCACCACCUCCUAGAAGUAUCCAAGGGUUUAACCCACUCUCUGAAAUUUGCUAUAAAUACUCAGCAAUUUCCCGUGUUGUUCAUCAAUACUUAAAAGAGUUUGAAUUUAUCAAUCACAUUAGUAGCAAUGGCAGACGAGAUUAUCGUGUUGGAUUUCCGGCCUAGCAUGUUUGGUAUGAGGGUCAGAGUUGCCCUGGCAGAGAAGGGUCUCAAGUAUGAAUAUAGAGAGGAGGACCUGUGGAACAAGAGCCCUUUGCUUCUUGAGAUGAACCCAGUUCAUAAGAAAAUCCCAGUUCUGAUCCACAAUGGAAAGCCCAUUUGUGAGUCUCUGAUAAUAGUUCAGUGUAUUGAUGAGGUUUGGUACGAUAAAUCUCUGCUUUUGCCCAGUGACCCAUACUAGAGAGCUCAGGCCAGGUUCUGGGCGGACUACAUAGACAAGAAGGUAUGCCUUUGCUGUUGAUUUAAAGCAUUCUUUUCCAUUGAUUCAUGGCGAUUGACUCAGAUUUUGAUUAUGGUGAGGGAUUUGUCCAAAAUGCUGGGUUUCUUCACACGUUCCCUUCUGAUAUUGAGUUUUGUGGGCUUUGGGGUUCCAAACUAGAACUUUUACUGAUUCUCCUUGCUGUUUGUUCAACAAGACUAUACUCUGCAUUUCUGAUAUGGGUUUAAAUUUCUUGUUUAUGUUGAAUACGAAUUCUGUUCGUUCCAUCAGGAAAAACAGAUCUCAAGAAUACCUUUUUUCCCCAAGCAAGGCGAAUACAUAAACCAGAUAUUUAAAGAAAGGUGUUUGGUUUUUUGUUAUCUUGCUGUUCAACAUCUUGCACAACAGUUGUUUUAAUAUAUGUUCUGUUUCUUUGAUCUCUUUCUUCUCAUUUUCUGAAACCCAAUUUGAGGGGAAAAACUUCAGCAAAUGAUACAUUCUUUCAGCUGAUUCUGAUCUUUUUUCUUCCACCGGCACUUCAUUUUAUUCUUAGCAAAUGAUAUUUCUAUGCGGAAGAGUCCUUAAUAAACUUGUCCAACUUUACAGAAUUUGAAACUUGAUGAAAUUCUCCAAAAAAAAUAAUCCUUCUCUCUUUGACUCCAUUAUUUUCCACAGCUCUAUGAACUUGGAAGGAAGAUAUGGUCAACCAAAGGAGAAGAGCAGGAAACAGCCAAGAAGGAAUUCAUAGAGUGCCUUAAGCUUUUGGAAGGAGAGCUUGGAGAGAAGCCUUACUUCGGUGGUGAAAAAAUUGGGUUUGUAGAUGUGGCUCUGGUGACCUUCUCUUGCUGGUUUUAUGCAUACGAGACCUUUGGCAACUUCAGCAUAGAGGCGGAGUGCCCCAAGUUGAUCGCUUGGACCAAGAGGUGCAUGGAAAGGGAGAGCGUGUCGUCUUCUCUUGCAGACCCCCACAAGGUCCAUGGCUUUGUCGUGGUGUUGAGAAAGAAGUUUGGUAUAGAGUAGAAGGGGCACAUGGGUCCUCUCUCGAAGACCCCGCAAGGUCCAUGACUUUGUCACGUGGAUGAGAAAGAAGUUUGGUAUUGAAUAAAAGGGAAAUAUCACGGUCUAUGCUCUAUUGAGUAGUGUUGUAUUGGUAAUGUAAGAGGAGUGUUUGCUUAAGUUUGCUAAGUGAUAUGGGUUUGCUGAGCUAUGUUGUUGGAAAUAAAUGUUUUGAAUUUGUUUUGGACUAGAGACGUGUUCCUGUAUUAAAGAAAUAAAAGUCUUUGACUACAUUUCCAUCGUGUCCACAUGAACAACUAUUAAGACAAAUUGGUUAAGACAUGCCCUAGAUAGAAAUAGAUAGAAGUGAGUCAUGAAAUGCACAUAUCUAACCUGCUCUUAUUACCAUAUUUUUUUUUUUUUAAAAAAAACUUUGAUAUGAGAAGUCAAAGAGCAUGUCGUUGUUGAUUUUUUUUUCUUUUUCACAAGAAUAUAUAUAUAUCUUCCAUAAAAUUAUCUUCAUGAAAAUUUUCUAUUUUCAAUUUUUUUUCUCUAUUCCAUUUUCUCAUAUUUAUUGAUUUUAAUUAUUUAUAGAUGUUUUAAAUAUAAAAUAAUAAUAUAAAAUAAAUAAUUAAUAAGAAAAAUUUUAAUAUAACAAUAAAUAAAUAAAAUGUUGAAAGUAAUAUUAUGGUAGGAAGGAUGUAUCACUCUUUUUUGGUUUAAACUAAGAUAUGUUACCAUCAUUUAUGUGCUAGAUGUCUUAUUAAUGGUGAAAUAACGUGAAUUCAAAGGGUGUUAAUGUAACAUUGAUCAACACAACCCUUGAAAAAAUGAAUACCACUCUUUUAUAAAUAAAAAACACCACUAAAUUGUAUUAAAAGUAUCAUUGUAGUGUGAAUGUUGUACUAUUCUUCUUUGGUUUAAGGUAUGUUUCCAUUUGUUAUGUGCUCAACGUAUUAGGUAAUGAUGAAAUAACGUGAAAUGAGUGAAUGUUAUUAUGCAACAACACCGAUCAACACAACCCUUAGAAAAAGAGGGUACCACUCAUUUAUGAAAAAUCUACUAUGUUAAAAGUACUACUAUGGUGGGAAGAAUGUAUCACUUGUCUUUAAGUUCUACCAUGGUAGGAAAAAUGUAUCACUCUUCUUUGGUUUACGGCGAGGUUUGUUACUAUUCAUUACAUGCUCAACGUCAUAUGUGAUGAGGAAAUAAUGUGAAUUGAGAUGGUGUUAUUUCACUAUAACACUGAUCAACACAAAUCCUUGGAAAAAAGGGUACUACUCUGUAGACAUAAAAAAAAUUAGUGGAUUAAAUUACCACUAAUUUGGUCUUCAAAAUGAAUAAAAAAAAAAAUAUAUAUCCUCUUAUGGAUAAGUUUCCUUAAUCUCCAACUAUAAAAAGGAUAAUAAUAAUAAUAAUAAGAAAAUUAUUAUUAUUAUUAUUAUUAUUAUUAUCUUGUUGAUAAAACCUCUUGGGAGAAGAAAAUUUGCUAAAAUCAAGGAACUAAAUCCCUUGAAUUAAGCAACUAAACUCCGAGAAUUUGAAAUUCAAAUUCCAUAUCUUCACCUAUAAAUAGAGGUGUCUUCUUUCAAGAAAGGAGAUGAAGAAAUUGAGAAAUAAAAAAAAAAUUCAGAAAGGAAAAUCCUAAGGAGAAAAUCCAAAGGCAAUUUUGUACAGGAAAAAAAGGUUUCAUAACAAAAGAAAAAGUUUCAUCAAAUUUCUCUGCAAGUUUGGUAAAUGGUAGAACUGCUAAACGCAUUCUUUGCCAUUUAACGAGUUCAUUCGGGAAUAAGCCACUUGUGACCCUCGAUUGAUCUUUGAAAUCAAGAAAACGUCAUCGUCGUCUUCCAAAGUGUGAUUAAGGCAAAAGAAUUAGGGGGGAAAAUUAUUUUGGAAAGAAUAUUAUUUUGAGAUUUUACCCACAAUAUUUUCAAUUUUAAUAAAUGUUUUGUUCGCAUUAUUUUCCUAUUUAUUUUGUUAAUUUGGUAGGACCAUUUAUGAAAUUUGUGGGUACAAAUUUCUAGCACGCCCAGCGAGACUUCUUUGCCUCUCGUCUCUUUUUAGAAGAUUGAUCUCUACUUCAUUGAUGACACCCAAAAGAACUCAAGUUGUGCAUGUAAACAAGGGCAAUGACAAGAUCAUCAUUGCACAAUCAACACAUGACGCCGCUAUGGGCCCCAUGACUCAUAGCAAAGCAAAAUCAACAUCUUCACUCUCAACAAAACAAAUAAGUGAGUUUGCUUGUUUGCUAAAAUCGGUAAGAACGUGUGAUGAGCACCAGCCACUCAUCACAUUGGUCUCUCUAGGGGCAAAGAGCCAUAGUCCUCGUAGUAGGGGAAAACUCACUUCAACACUACAGGACUUAGGAUAAAUCUCCUAGCUCUGUUAUCGAUUCUAACUCUAGCACCGGCUCAUACUCCGAGUCGCCAGCUGGAAUGUCAAAGGAGGAAAACUACUCCAAUCGUUUCGACUCUUUUACUUCUCCCUUCUCGAUGACUAUGCUGGUAAUGGCAACUGGCACUACAUUUGUAGAGGAACAAUUAGUAGAGAUGGCUCAUGGCAUCGCCAAACUCACCAAAAUGGUUGAGGAGAAGGAUAUGCAAAUAGCCUCCCUCAUAAAUAAGGUUGAGGCACAAGUACAAAAUAUGGGUGAGUCAAGUCAAGGACUCAACCACUUUCUGAAUGUUGCAUCUCUUCUCGAUGAUGCACCACAUGCGUAUAGGACAAUCCAAGUUGAGAGACAAAUGGCGGAAUCUGCCUCAAUGGCAUCAUUAUCUAUCCAACAACUUCAGUACAUGAUAACUAACACCAUUAGAGUGCAGUACAGUGGACCCUUACAGAGUACGCUCAUGUACUCAAAACGUUACACUAAGAGGAUUGAUAACCUACGUAUGCCUGUGGGUUAUCAACCUCCAAAAUUUCAAUCAUUUGCAAAAUUUCAAUCAUUUGAUUGGAAGGGAAAUCCAAAACAAUAUAUUGCCCAUUUCAUUGAAACUUGUAACAAUGCAGGUACAGAUGGUGACUUAUUAGUUAAACAAUUCGUCCGUUUUAUUCGAAGGAAUGCUUUCGAUUGGUACAUAGACCUUACACUUAAGUGUAUCGAUAAUUGAGACCAAAUGGAAUGUGAAUUCCUCAAUAGUUUCUAUAACACCCGACGAACUGUAAGCAUGAUGGAACUUACUAACACUAAGCAAUGGAAAGACAAGCCGAUUAUAAACUAUAUCAAUUAUUGACAUUCCUUAAGCCUUGACUACAAAGAUAGAUUAUCUGAGGUAUUGACCAUGGAAAUGUGCAUACAAGGAAUGCAUUGGGGUCUCCUAUACAUUCUCUAAGGGAUACAACCUCAUACAUUUGAAGAAUUAGCUACCAAAGCACAUGACAUAGAGCUCAACAUAGACAACCAUGGUUCUAAGAAGGACCUUACCAUUGAUCGAUAAAGAGAAAGACAUGAUGGGAAAAUGAGUGACAAGACCUCAAAGAAACCUAUUCAGGAGUCAAUGACAAUAAAUAUAACUCUUGUCAAAAUCUCAGCAAGAGAUAAAAAAAAGGAAGUAAAAGAGGUCAGACUAACCCAGGAAAAUAAGAUGUGUCAAUUCAUCUUGAAGGAAUUAGAGGAGAAGAAGUAUCCUUUUCCUGACUUUGAUGUGCCUAACAUGUUGGAAGACUUGCUCCAAAAAAAGGUUAUUAAGUUACUUGAGUGUAAGCAUCCAAAAAGAAUGGGUCGUGUUAAUGAUCCAAUCUACUAUCAUUACCAUCGAAUUGUUAGUCAUCCUAUGGAGAAAUGUUUCAUUUUAAAAGAUCUCAUAAUGAAACUUGCAAAGCAAAGAAGAAUUCAUUUAGAUCUGGAUGAAGUAGUAGAGUCAAAUCAUGCUAUAGUCACAUUUGAGUCAUUUGAUCCUGUUCCAUUACAUGUUCCACUUAAGAAACUAGGGACAUGUGGCAAUACUAUUCAAUGUGAGUCACCAAAACCAAAGCAAACAUAAGUGUCAUGUUAGGAUAGCCUUCUUCGCCUUUGCUCUGAUAAUAAAUCAAUGUCAUAUGACGAAGAAGGUUGGAUAUUGGUGACACGAAGAAGACUUUGCAAGAAGCAAGGGUCGCAUUCAUACCCUAACCUUCUUAGGAGGGAAUGACAUGAGUGGAAUACUCACCAACAUUUAAAGAAGAAAGAAAAAAAGAAUCUUAAAAGAAAACAAGCGAUUGUACAAAUAGACGACUUUUUGGUCCAGAAACUCAUCACCCCUAUCACCCUAGAGAAAUACUUCCCUCUAGGGUUCUUUGAUAAAAGGGUGGCAGUAUCAACUCAUAUGGUCUCUUGCUAAGAGACUUCAAAAGAAGAGGGGUUAAGUGAAGAUGAGGAAAACAUUCUUGGUGUUGAGUCAAGAAAAACUAAGGAAGAAGAGGGGGUUGUAGCAAGCCUACAACACCUACUCUCACUAUUUAGUAGCCACGAAAUGCUACAACUACCUAAUGAGAUACAAAAUGUGUUGAUUCAAGUACUUAAGGAUCCAACACUCUAUGCCACCAAAAUAAAGGGGGCAAAAAGACUUGAGGAUGAAAGCCACAAUUGUGCCAAAUGUUGUGCAGCCAUCAUUUUUACUAACGAAGACCUUCAGUUAGGGUCAAAACCACAUAAUCGACCCCUGUUUGUUACUAGGUACAUACGGGAACAAAAUAUCACUUGCAUUUUAAUUGAUGAAGGGUUUGGAAUAAAUAUCAUGCCUAAAGCAACAAUGAAAUGACUCAGGAUUGCUACAAAAGAACUAACUCAGAGUCGCCUAAUGAUCUAAGGCUUUAAUCAAGGGGGACAACGAGCUAUUGGUAUGAUUCACCUAGAGCUUGUUACAGGUGAAUUGAGUUCGAACACAUUGUUUCAUGUAAUCAUUGCAAAACAUUUUACAACUUAUUACUCGAGCGACCAUGACUUCAUGAGAAUGGGGUAAUUCUUUCGACACUAUACUAGUGUUUCAAAUUCUAUAGAGGAGGGGUAAAGGUAGUAUAGACUGAUACUAAGCCAUUUACAGAAGUCGAGUCUUAUUUUGUUGAUGCUAAAUUUUACAUAGAAAAUGAUGUUAUGCAGGAAGUCCUUCUUGCGAUUAUUCUCUCCACUGGGAAUGCUAAACUUAAGGAAAAAGUUGAGCUAUGUAAGUUGACAUCAGCAGGGAAAUUUCAUAACAAAUGAUGACUCAAAUAAAAAAAAAAGAGAAAUUUUCAAAAAAAUUGACAUUGGACUUGACAAUUCUCACUACUUUCCUAGUUUUUAGGUACAUCCCAAUAUCUCGACGAAGUGAGGGUCAACCAUUUUUCAUAGAAGACAAAAACAAAGUACAACCCUGAGGAUUGGAAAAUGGGGACCUUUAAGUCUUGAAAGAAGAUACGACCAUUCCUCUUCCAAACUUACAACUUAUCUCUAGGGAUGAAACACAAAAAUCCAACAAAACCUCAAGAGAUCAAACAAAGCAAGAAUUCUUUCCUGGUAAAAGAAUAAAUGAGGAGUUCAACCCUAAGACUUACAAGUUAUUAGCCAAGGCAAGGUAUUACUUCACUUCGUCAUCACGAUUAGGAGAACUUAGCCUCGAGACUACAGGUGAAAAGAUGCAUGACUUUAACGAAACUCAAAAAAAGUUGAAACAACAAGGGUAUGCAGUCAAACCUUCUAGUGCAGGUUUAGGGUUUGUACCUUUUGAGCCUAUCAAAAUUUUAGUUAAGACUAAGAAGACUAAGGCAAGUACACAACAUAUCAUUGUAGAAGACAUGGAGGAGAGUAGUGGGUCUAACUCUCCUUCUCGAAUUUCAAUAUUUGAUCGGAUUGAAGCUCUAAUUACAUGAGCUUCAGUGUUCACUAGGUUGGGCGAUUUUAACCAAGUAUAAUGUAAUUUAGCACAUAUUCCACAAAGGUCAAUACAACGAAGGAUUAAUACUCUACCCAAAAGUCACGACGACAAAAUCCCAAUAAGAAGUAGUGUAGUGAACUAAAUAAGAAUGCAAAAAUAAGAAGUUUAAUCCCAUCAAGGAUGAAACACCAUUCAACUUGGGAAAUUUGUACUAAUGGCUAGUUAAAAUUAAAAUGACAUACCAUCGUGAUCACCAAGCAGUCGGACGAGGGAUGCCCUAAAGAUGUUAAAUAAAGUUUGACACACAGUAACUACCAUAUUACAGUAGAAGUUGACUCUAAUUCAGAGUUUUUAGAAGAUGAACUAUGAGAAGCUCCUCAAGUAUUUGAGGACGGGGGGCAGGCCACUGUAGAUGAGUUAAAAGAGCUCAAUUUAGGUACAAAUGAGGACCCAAGGCCAAUUUAUGUAAGUAUGCUUUUAAGUCCUUCUGAAGAGAAAAGUUAUUUUGAAUUGUUACUCAAUUAUAAAGAUGUCUUUGCAUGGUCGUACAAAGAAAUGUCAGGUCUUGAUCCAAAAGUUGUAGUACAUUAACUCACGGUGAAACAUGGUGUCCGAUUGAUUAAGCAAGCCCAAAGACGAUUUUGACCAGAACUUGUUUCGCAAAUAGAAACGAAAAUUUUCAAAUUGAUUGAAGUUGGUUUUAUUAAGGAGGUAAAGUACCCGACAUGGAUUGCGAACAUUGUUCCAGUGAAGAAAAAGAAUGGGUAGAUCCGUGUCUGUGUAAAUUUUAGAGAUUUAAACAAUGCUUGCCCAAAAGAUGACUUCCCAUUACUAAUUAUUAAGCUUAUGGUUGAUGCAACUACAGGUCAUGGAACUUUAUCCUUCAUGGAUGGAUCAUUGGGGUAUAACCAAAUACAAAUGGUGCCAGGGGAUGAAGAACUUACUGCAUUUUGUACUCUAAAGGGUAUUUACUGUUACAAAGUGAUGCCUUUAAGACUAAAUAAUGCAGAUGCAACGUAUCAACAUGCCAUGCAGAAAAUAUUUGAUGACAUGCUUCAUAAGAAUGUCGAGUGCUAUGUUGAUGAACUGGUGGUCAAGUCUAAGAAGAGAGAAGACCACCUGCAAGAUCUUCGUAUGGUGUUUGACAGGUUAAGAAGGUACCAACUUAUGAACCUACUCAAAUGUGCUUUUGGUGUUACUUCUAGUAAGUUUCUAUUUUAUUGUUCGACACCGUGGCAUUGAAGUGGAUCAAUCUAAGAUCGCAACCAUUCGAGCUAUGCCAGAGCUGAGGAAUCUUUAAGAACUUAGAAGUCUUCAAGGACGUCUUACUUUUAUUCGACGAUUUAUUUCAAAUCUUGUAGGACGAUGUCAAUCCUUCAACCAACUUAUGAAGAAAGAUGUCCCAUUUGUUUGGGACAAAGCUUGUCAUAAUCCCUUUGAGAGAAUAAAAAAGUAUUUGGCUAAUCCACCAAUCUUAGGUGCUCUUAUGGCAGGGAAGCCAUUGAUACUCUACAUUGCCGCACAAAAAUGCUCUCUUGGAGCAUUGUUUGCACAACAAAACGAGGAGAACAAAGAAAAUACAUUGUAUUACUUAAGUCAAACUCUAAUGGGAUCAGAACUAAAUUACUCCCUAAUAGAGAAAACUUGUCUUGCUUUAAUCUUCUCGACAAAAAAGCUAAUACAUUACAUGCAGGCAUACACAGUACACUUAAUAGCACACGUUGAUCCCAUUAAGUAUGUGCUAUCAAAGCCAGUUAUUUCAAGACGAUUAGCAAGAUGGGGGUUGUUACUCACUGAGUAUGAAAUAAUCUACAUUCCUUAAAAGGUAAUCAAAGGACAACGCAGACUUCUUGGCAGAUCAUCCUAUCCUUGCAACAUGAAAAAUUUUAGAUGACUUCCCCGAUGAGGAGAUCUUUUAUGUUGAUGUUUUUCCUUCGUGAAUGAUGUUCAGGUCAGCACGUUAUGAUGGAACAGGUGCAGAUGUUGUAUUUGUCUCACAACAAAGAUAGAUACUACCAUAUUCAUUUGUUCUUAGUGAGAGAUGCUCUAACAACGUUGCUAAAUACCAAGCCUUAAUUAUUGAACUACAAAUAGCGAUUGAAAUGAAAAUCACAAGCUUAGAGAUAUGUGGGGAUUCUAAGUUGGUAAUCAAUCAACUUCUAGCCUUGUAUAAGGUUAAAAGUGAUGACUUAGUUCCUUACUUCCAAUAUGCUACCCAACUGAUGGAAAAGUUUGAGCGAACCUCUUUAGUUCAUAUUCCAUGAAAGAAAACUAAAUGGCAGAUGCUCUAGCUAAUCUAGUUGCAAGUUUGACACUGCUUAAGGACGAGACUAUACACAUCACUCUUUGCCAUAAGUGGGUACUGCCGCCAUUGCCACUAUUACAACAAGAAGAAGUAAACGCUACAUCGGUAUUUACUAUUGACAACGAAGAUUGGCGACAACCAUUAAUUGACUACUUAGAGCAUGUGAAGUUACUUGAUGAACUAAGGCAUUGAACAUAAAUACGACAUUGAGCUCCAUACUUCAUUUACUACAAAGAAACACUUUAUCGAUGCUCAUUCCAUGGAGUACUUCUUCGAUGCCUAGAAGGAGAAGAGACAAAUCAAGCAAUUGAAGAAGCUCAUUCUGAGAUCUAUAGGGCUCACCAAUCAGGGCCAAAACUUCAUUUUCGAAUCAAAAGGAUGGGAUACUAUUGGCCAACUAUGGUUAAGGAUUGUAUGGAAUAUGAAAAGAAGUGUCAAUCAUGCCAAUUCCACUCAAAUUUUAUACACAACCCCUUGAGCCACUCCAUCCUACAAUUGCGUCAUUGUAGACCCUCAAUUUUGUCCCUUUAGCACAUGUCUUUAAGUUCGUUUUCAGUGCUUCAAAAUAGUUCCUUGGUGGCCCAUGGCUACUCAUACCACUUACCUUUUUCUGAGUCACCUCGGAGAUUUUGGUGGAGGAAUUAUUUGAUCCUUUAUUGUGACCCUUGGCAGCCCUAACUUAGACUUAGACUUUUCUUGUUUUUUUUUUUUUUUUUUUAGGAUAGCUUUUAGAUACAUUUGGCCCAUUUGGACAUUUUUAGCGUGACUUGUAUGACUUGCAUGGUUACAUGGCUUUUGGGCUCGACUUUUUGUUUAUUGGUUUAUUUUUAUUUUAUUUCAUUUUAUUUAUUUUUACCGUUUCCUAAUUUAUUUACUUGCUUAUUUAUUCAUUCAAUGAUUUAACUUCAAGAUUUUCAUGUUUUUGCAAGGAAACUUACCAUUGGAGUUUAAGGAAGGUGGGACUCUCCUUGGAAGGUUUUGGAGGGGAAUUUGAAAUUGAGAAGAUUGCUUUUGAUUGGAAGAUUUAAAAAAAGGAAGAAAAGAAGAAAGGAAAUAGGAGAAUUUUCCUUUUUGGAAAGAAAUUUAGGUCUUGAGGGGUGAUAUAUAUAGGUGAGAAAAGGAAAAGAGGGGGAAGGAUUUUUUUUGGGGGUAGAGCACGCGUUGGAGGAUUGGGAGGAGAUUUGAGGAGGUUCUUUUUGGAGCAGCAGGCAUUGGAGGAAAAUUUGUCGGGGAAAAGAACAGAGGAAACGAAAAGAGCAAUUGCAACCAAGGCUGUCCAGGUAUGCACCUCGUUGCUUUUGGAAUUCUGACCUAUGUUUGAUUUUUUUCCACGUGAAUAUUUAAUGGUAUUGUUGAUUUUGUGUGGACGAAAGGGGCCACAAUUUGUUUUGUUGAGAUUGGUUGCUUGCUUGUUUGCCUUGUUUUGGUUUUGAUUGUCAUUGAUGUCUUCGGAAGCAUAUAACUCCAUGCCUGAAUGUGAUCAGAUUCUGUUCUUCAUUUAAAUCAUAUUCUGCAUUUGUCUCUCUGUUUUUAGCCCAUGGAUUAAUAUCUGAAGUGGGGGCUAUCCAUGUUUACUGAUCAACACCUUCUGCCAUUUCCUUCUCCAAGUUUUACUUCAAUUUUUUUUAUCUUUUAUCUGUAUUCUUUUCCUCGCAUGGUGUUCGAACCCUUGCUCUUGUAUUUGGGUAUACGUCGAGGAAUGAUGUAAGUGUCAAUAUGAGGGAUGAACUGUGCAACAAUCCCACUCAAAAAUAAUUGAUUCCGAGGUAUUGUAAUGGAUUGUGGAGACUGGAGGUAACGUCUUAUUGGCAUCAGAUUUGACCUUUCUAAUCCUAUGGGAUUCAAUGGCUCGUACAGAAUCGCAACUCCGGUGUUAUUUGCAAGCAUAGCUAAAUGGGUUAAAGCCAAGCUAAUAUUUUCUCUUGCUUCCGAAUGAUCGCGUUAUCAUUGGCCAACAUCACUUCUACCCUUUCCAAUUUUCCAAGCGCUUCUGACCGUAAGAAUAAUGGUCUCAGAGAAAGCAAUUUGACUUGUAAAACAGAGGGUUUCAGAGAGUGUCAGGAAGGUGAUUGAUUUGGGUAGCACUGAAAAAGGAUGGUUUGAACUAGGGUUUUGAAUCACGCCUUGAGUUAUUAGAGCAGUACGAAGAAUUGCGGGAUACCAGUGAUGGAUUGAUGGGUUCGGUGCCGAUUCUGGGUCGUAUUACAGAUUUGGGGCAGAGACGAUUGGUGAUGGCAAUGGGAUUAAUGCAAAUCAGGGAGAUGCUAUUUUUGAGGAAACGUAGUUCACGGGUUUUAGGAAUGUAGUUUCAGAAUUUUCAGAGAUUCUUGAUGUAUUGUGUUAGAAUAUUCUGAAACAGUUUCAGUAUACCGAAGGAUCCAAUACGGGCUUAGCAAUUACUAUAAGGAACAGAAAGAAGGAAAUUGAUGCGACUUCUGCGAACAAGUAAGUUCCAGAUACUUCGGUUGGAAGAACCUUCUCAAUAAGGUGAUCAAUCAGAGGAGGUAUCUUGCACAGUAGACCUUUCUGAUUCUUUAUGUUAUCAACUUGAUCUUGUCUCUUUUGUCGCAUAUGUCAAUUCUGCUCAUUUAUGGAAUUCAAAAUCCUCAUUGUUGUUGCCUGAAAAAGAAAUUACGGCAAUUGGAGAAGACAAUCAGUCUGACCCUUUUUGUUGAAAAUUUUGUUUUGGAAAGAUUUUCUAUUUAAACCUCCCUGCGGGUACUAUUCGAUGAAGUCUUUGGUAAUAAAUUUCAGGAUGCUAUUGAAUUGAUAAGUAUGUAGCCAGUUGCUUCUAAUUUAGCAGCCUGGAAGAGAAUGCGAGUUGUUGAAUUCAUGCACAUGCGAUAUGCUCUGGAAUCUGUGGUGCUUGCAGUUGGAGCUAUGGAAAGAAGUACAUCUUAUCAUCUACUAUUGGUGAGAGAUAUAUUGUUCUUGCAAUGAAGCACCCUGCUGUCUUCUUAGAUAGCAGGUACAUUGACAAUGGGGAUAAGGAUAAGAAGACUUAUACGUCUUCUUAGAAUAUGGAGGAUUCACUCAAUACAAAAGUCACUCUUUUCGUCUCUGGAAUUGAGAAACCACAGUUUAGAGGAUGGAAUUAAAGUUUUUAUGCCCCAAGUUGCAGUAGCAGUUCUGGUAAUACUCAAACUCAGAGCAUCACGGGGUAUGACAGGAUGGCUGGAAUGGUGAUUGGAAGGCUCCUGGCGUCCAGAGAUUCCCUAAGUAGCAGUGGAAGUUUACUACUGGUGUAGCCAUGAUUGAAGUUACAGCUCCAUGUGUAUAUGCUAUCAAAAGAAGAAGGAUACGAGACUCUGAUUUUCCAUACCACUGGAAUGGGUGGAAGGGCUAUGGAGGAUCUGAUCAGAAGGGGAUUUAUACGAUGUGUUCUGGACAUAACAACAACAGAGGUUGCUGAUUAUGUAGUUGGAGGUGUUAUGGCUUGUGACAAUUCCCACCUUGACGUCAUGAAGAUAAGAAAUUUGUCGGCUUUGUAGCAAACGAACUAAACGAAACAGCAUCAAAGGUAAUGUUGACCCGAAUGAUUAGGCUCAUAUUCAGAAAGACAGAAUUUGAUCCAGACUCGAUUUCCUCUGGUUCUGCUACAAAUAAAGAAGUUGAAUUUCUGGACUGCACAAGGACCUUUUAGUUCUGAUUUUUCUUUAGGUGCCAAUCUUACCACAAUGGAAGAUGUCCAGAAUAGUUUUAAUGCAACGCAACUUAGGCUUUGUGGAAGGUUAAGCAAUGUUGAUGGCUAUAUAAUGCCGAUCAUCUUCCCAAGUGUUAUUCUCUGUGGCUGAGUUGUUUUCUGAAGCUGAAACAUAAAGACCCUCUCAAUAAGGCCGCCUCUAUGAAUCUUGCUCAGCAUGCACUGAUCAGCAAUUUCUGGUGAGAUCUCAGCCAGUUCCAGCUGAUAAGCAGGUGAACCAGGCAGGAAGGACCAAUUGGCAAACACUCUUGGGCUUUCCUGGUGGGCAUGAAACCCAGAAUUGCAAUGGGGUAGUUCAGAAUCUGAAUCUAGUUCGACUUGGAGGUCUGAGUCAGACAUUAUAUAAUUAGGAUGGCAAAGAAGACUCCUUACCUACAGCGGCCCAAAUUUAUUAAGUCGUCCUUUGACACUAAAGAGAUCACCGGUUUGCCCUUGAUAAAUUAAUGUCAUCAUGAGCAGAUUUUGUUCCUAUUCUUUAGCUGAGAAUCAAAUGCAUCACACCAUCGAACAGUUGAAAUCUUUGAGUAGGAGCAGAGAAUGAUGCAGAACAGAGAAAACAAUGACCCAGGUCCAACAGGUCUCAUGAGGUUUGAUGGUGAGAUCCGUUCAGCAAUGUUGGGAAGCAACUGGAAAUAUGGGCCUCAUGCUGCUGCAACUCACUUAGACUACAUGGUUGAGUUUACAGUCACUGUGCCAAUUUUGAGUCUUGCUGGAACAAUGGAUAACUUACCAGCUGGUGAACCAUGGCUGCAGAAACUAAAAGCGGAUUGAGCAGGAUGCAACUACUCUCAUUCCAGGAAACAAAGAACUGAAACCACACGAGUAGGACCCUUUGAACAAAAAUGCUGGUAUCAAUACACAUCCUACGUGCCCAUCUAUUAUUCAAUCCAAUUCUGAAGUCCCAGUCAUGUCACCUAGAAAAAGCAAAGGAGAAAUUCAAAGGGAACCCUUGGGCUUGAAAGGAAAGGUUCUUAGUCUUGGAAAGGUUCAGAAAAGCCGGAAGGUGUAGAAAGAAUUCAAGCAGCCACAGAAGGCUUCCUCCAAGCUGAUAGUACCACCUAGCACAGGUUUCGGUACCUUAACCUAUGGAUAUAGUUUGCUCUUGAGAGCGUUCCAUACAUUCGAAACGGCAUCAAUAAGUCACUACUUUUGGAUCAGCACUUGGAACUGGAUCUUAGUACUGUCAUGCUUGGCUGUUGCUUUUGGUUUUAGAAACAUGAACUGCUUAGGUAACGCAUCUGGCUUGGCAGUUAUAAUUAUAAUGUCAGUCACCACCUGCCUAAUGUCUCUGGUUGCUGUACUGUGCCGACACCAGAAUGUCUCCUCUAUAAUUGGCUCCAUGUUCUUCAUUGGCGUAAUUGAAGCUUUCUAUUUCUCAGCAUGGAUCUCUAAGCCACUCCUGAGCAUGCGUGUAAGAAUGGAUAGCAGGGCAGAUUUUCAGGUUCCUGGUCAGAGUGGAAUAAUGGGACAGCCAAAUGAAGACGAAUUCCCCAUGAACUUCCAAAAAUAGACUUAAUGAUAAGAAGAGAGGUGAAAAAGAAUUCAGUGGCUAUUCGAGAUGACUUUUAUGGAUGAAUUCGGUAGAGAAUUGAAAAGAAUUCAAGUGGUUGCAUAUGUGGGUGAGAUUCAAUAGCGUUAACGGAUACUCUUGAUGGCUGAAAUUUAAAAGAAAUGAUAGACUACAUAAGUGAGGUGAUUGAAUUUUAUAAAUAUGAUUAUGGGUUUUGAAUUACAUCGAGAUCAGCACUUGUUGAGAUUAUCAUAUUUAUGCUGGUAACAUUGCAAUCAUAUACGUUUUCAUCCCAAGAGUUUGAUCAUGCGUCAAAAUAUCUAGAAGCAGAGCAAAUUGAAACCUUUUCAAAAUCAGCAGUGGACAGAUUCUGUCCUAAAACACUUGAAGUUGGAGCAUACUGAGGCAGUUUAGUCUUCUGAAAUCCAUACCUAGUUUCCUGAUGAUUCAAGUUCUUUAUUUGACUUUUCCUUUAUAGAGAAAGCUCCUAGUGGCAUUGACCAGCCAGGAAUUCACCAUAUGCUUCAUCAACAAUAAUGUGCAAUUCAGGAAAAACGAGGUUGGAUGGUCAGAAGAAGACUUUGAAACUAGUUCAGGAUCUCAAUCUAGUGAAUCUGAUUUCUCCAGUUUCAGUCCAGAUGAGCUUCUGCAGUUAAUUGGUGAUGCAUCAGUUAUGGGAAAGGUCCUUCAUCAACUAGCACUUCACCUUUAUAAGAAUCCAUCAUGAUUCUCAGCACUUGCUGUUGUCUAUUUUCUGACAUGUAUUAAGCAAAGAUUGGUCUGAAGAGAGAUAAUACAUCCUCUAUCUAGUACACAGAUUCAGACGCUGAAUUCCGUGAUUAUGUUAGUGAGGUCACGAGGGAAGUGUGUAGGCAUCACUAUGCAAAGUGCCUUGAAGUUGUAUCAAUUCGUUUGCUGGAUAAUCGCCCACAAAUUAGCAAAAAUCAUCUUUCAAAAUAUAUGAAGUAUCCUACGUUUAUAGGAGAGCAAUUGAUCAUUCAACACCAAAUUGUUAUCUUCAGGGAAAUGUUGAUAUGAUUGGAGGUGCAAUAGCAUUGACUUGAGAUAGUCAACAGUAUGUGAUCACAGAGUUAGGAUAUUACAACAAGAAGAGUCCAAUGGGCUUAAAUCUUUUUGACAGAAAUUCUCAUCUAUCUUGGACUUUAAGCUAGCGUCUGAUGAAAAACAUCAGAAUCUUCACCCUAUUCUAUGAUAGAUGCAUGCAUUGCAGUAUGCUCGAGAUCAUUGUAGGCCUUUAUCCGAGAAGAAACAGAAUAGAGUGAACCAGGUGUUGAAUAAAGCCCGUGAUGAUGCUGAAAGUAGUGCCUAGAAGAACUCGUUAGAAAGUAACAAAGGCAAUGUCCUCUUUCCUCUCCUCUGAUGUGCCUUCUCCUGUUUGGAGUAUACCAAUAAUUCGGAAACUGCACUCUUUAUCUGUGACUUUACUUGAUGGAAACAAAGGGCAAGAUGGGAAGCCUCACAAGGAAGAGAAGCCUCAAAGUCUAUAUGAGAAUUUAGAAGAUUCUUUUGCCACAAAGGCAGCAGAAGAAAUAUGCUUGCAACAGAAAGAACUUAGGGUAUUUGAAAUUUCUGGAUUGGUGCUGCUCAAUGAGAAUAUACAGAAAAUCAAUCCAAAUGAACCACUAAAAGAAGAAUGCACUACUCUAGGUGAAGUAUCAUGGUUAGAGAAUCACAGAAACGCGUCUGCAAUAAAACGCUCAGAUUCUCCAAUAGAAAGUGACAGAACCAUGAAGCUGCCAGUAGAGGUGCCUGAGGGAGCUGAGGAACCUGCAGAAGAGUAUGAAAACAACAAAGAACUGAUCAUAGAGAAAGAGAGAGACAUCAAGGAAUUUCCAGCCGUGUCCAUUGAAGUUGAAUAGGUUAAAUAGGAACGGCAUUCUGAGACAAUACUCGCUGAAAAUCCUAGAAUGACAGAUUCUGAAGUGCAGACUAAAAAUGUGAACCUAUAGGAUUGUGGAAGACUUCAGCAAAGACUCUAAAAGAUUUCCCAUCACAAAAGCAAUGGAAGCAGAGAUGCUACAGAAACAGAGUGGUAAAAGGAAAGUGGAUGUCUCUGGUUCGGUAUCUGAAAUAUCAAAAGAAAUUAAUAAGGAGGUCAUAGAAGAUGCCAGCACUUGCUCUAACAAUAUUGAUGCUGCAUCCGAAGAGGGGAAAACAGAAGAGUCAAGCUUGUAGGAAACUCAACUGAAUGACAAAUACAAAAAGAUCAUUAAGACUAGCUCAGAAGAUAAGACACUAUAAGCAAAUACCACAAAUGAAACUAGUCCACAGGCUGAAGAGGUUGACAGCAUGAAGCUUGAAGAAACUUUUGAAUUGAUGUCUCAACUUCCAGUUAAGGCAUGUGAGAACACAAACAAGGAGAGUGAAACAGUGGAAAGGUCGAUUGAUAAUGUGCUGAAGAAACCGAUUAAAUCUUCUGGUAUAGUAUCAGAAUCCCAAGAACAAUGUGCUGAAGAAACUGAUUAGACCCUUAAGCUCUUCUCUAGCAGGGUCUUUGAUAUCAAAUGCCUGUCAGAACCCCCAUUCAGUAAACUGCUUCAAUUUGAGCUCAGGAAUCCAAGGAAGACACGGAUAAGGGAAAGUUGAUUACGCCAGAAUCUGUAUUUCUCAAGAGCAACUCAAGUUUACUGGAACUCUUCACCCUUCAUUGGAAUUCAAUAAAACUUUGAACAACAGAGAGCCACAGAAAAGUACUAAAGGAGGGCAGAAUGUAUUUUGGGAUUCAACAUCAGCAGGAUAGUCUCAAAUCUUAUUCCCAGGCUCCACUCCAUCAUGGCAACCUUGCUAUACACACCCUCUCCUCUAUUUACUUUUGUGAUUGGGAACUUACUAUUUUAAGUUGAAUUUUUGAACCAUUGUUCAACUAAACAUUCCCAGCUUUGAAAAAUCCAUCUUAGGAGCAUCUAGGUAUAAAAUCCCAAUUUUAACAUGCUAUUUGCUGCCAUUUUCCUCCGGGCAUGCACUUUCACUAUUUUAUCCGAUUUUUAACUAUUUUCAUGAUUUUCUCGAUUUUCUCAAGCAUGAACAAACUUCAUGAUUCCAAACAAUGGAAUUAAUAGAAUAAAUUCAUGCAAAAGUAAUCAGGGCAUUGGGGGGAGGCCCGACAUUCAUAAUAUUCUCUUCAAUAGUGUCUUGUUUGAUAUUUGAUUGAUUGUGCUUCCUCUUUGUGGUAUAUAUGAGAUUAUUUUGAAUUAGUUGUUGAGUUAAUUUUGUUUCCCAUAGAGGAUUAUUAACUCGCUAAUCAGGUACGCUCUUUCUACCACCACACUUUCCAAAAUUUCAUGAAUAUGAGACAUAACCAUAUUUGAUGCCAUAAUUGAUUGCUUUGAUGCUUGUUGGAUCGUCUUUGAUGAAAAUACAUAUUAUGUGUCAUAUUUCCAAACUAAUCUCUCAUGUUUUGUGAUAGUGUUUGAGAAGCCGUUCAGGUACGCACUUCGACUCUCUCUUAUGGUUGGUUUUCUUAUUAGGCAUGCAAUAUUUGAAAUCACCUAGCCUACUCAGGUAUCCAUAAUUAACUGAUUAAUGGCCACGCUUCCCUUAACUUAGUCAGUAGAGACCUCUUUAGGGCUUAGAGGGGUGCUACCUCCUAGAGGUACCUUCCCAAUAAGUAACCUGAUCCCCGAACCAAGACUUGGGUUUUCAAAGACACGCUUUUCCAAAAAUUAUGGAGUCAUUUUUUUAGGGUUUUAUUUCUUGUUUUAUUUUCCCUUCAAAAAUAAAAAUAAAAUAAGUGGCGACUCCAACUUUUUCAAAAAUCAAUUUUUCACAAUAAAAAGCGAGUCUCGUCGAUCGAGUGGGGACGCACGUGAAAAAUGCGGGUCCACAGUCAUGGCCAUUUGAUGCAUGGGGACUUGACGUGGUCAGACCCAUUACUCUUAAAUCCUUUGUUGGACAUGCUUACAUAUUGCAGCAACAUAUUAUUUUUCUAAAUGGGCAAAAGUUGUUCCACUUAAAGAAGUGAAUAAAGAAAAUGUAGUGAACUUCAUUCGAAGUAAUAUUAUCUAUCGGUAUAGGGUACCAUGAUAUAUAAUCACUGACAAUGGGAAACCCUUCUAUAGCAAAUUGAUGAUCAAUCUUUGUGAGAGGUUUAGUUUCAAACAACACAAUUCAUCAAUGUACAAUGCACCGACCAAUGGUCUCACAGAAGCAUUCAACAAGACUCUUUGCAACUUAUUGAAGAAAAUUGUUGAUAAUUCAAAGAGGGAUUGACAUGAAUGAGUAGGAGAAGCACUUUAGGCAUAUCAAACAACAUAUCGAACGCCUACACAAGCAACCCUUUAUUCCCUUGUUUAUGGUGUAGAAGUUGUAUUGCCCCUUGAGCGUCAGAUCCUUUCAUUAAGGAUUUCUAUACAUGAAGGACUAACUAAUGAAGAUAAUGCCAAGUUACAUCUUCAAGAGUUAGAAGCACUAGACGAAAAGUGACUCGAAGCCCAACAACACUUAGAGUAUUAUCAAGCACACCUUUCAAAAGCUUUAAAAAAAAAAGGUUUGUCUUCGGUCUUUUCAAGUCGGUGAUCUAGUUCUUGCCAUUCGUAGACCCAUUAUCACCACACAUAAGACUAGGAGUAAAUUUACAUCAAAAUGGGAUGGACCUUAUGUGGUGCAAGAAGUCUACACCAAUGGUGCUUAUAAGAUCGUCACUGAAGACGGAUUAAGAAUUGGCCCUAUCAAUGGAAAAUUCUUAAAGCGUUAUUAUGCUUGAGUCACACUACACCCUUAGCUUGCAUGAGCAUAAAUUAUGUCUGGAGCACCAAAAAAAAAAUAAAAAAAUCCGCUAAGUCGAAAACCUAAAAGGACGCCUUAGGUAAAAAUUAGGACAUAUGCUCACAAGAUUAAAAUUUUCUUUUAGCCUUGGCAAAAGUUAGAGCAUGAAAAAAAAAGGUGCUGCAUUUGACUUGAUCCUCUCUCUUUGAAAGGUAUGUAAGCAACUUGGGGAAACCACCUAAGUUCACUCACUACCAAAAAAAAAAAAAAAGGUCUCAUUUUUAUUAAUAAAUAAAUCUGACUAACAAAUGCUAGACUUUAUUACAUCUUAAUAAAAAAAAAUGAAUGAAAGCAAAAAAAAAAAGGGAGCCAAAACUAAGUAAAAAGGUACAAUGAUCACAUCCACACCAAGCAUGCAAGCUCGUCACGUUGAGUCCUUAAGGCUUCUUGAAGUGUCUCUAAAGUUUUGACAUCAACAUCAGUAAGCACAAGGGUUUGGGCGAUAAUGACAUGUUAUUUCCUCAAACGAGAAACAUCAUUAUGUUUAUUGGCUAUAAUCUCAUCAAUCUCCAAGAUUAAGUUAUGAAUGUGCUCUUUUUGUUUACCUAGUUGCUUAAAUUCCUUCUUAAGUGCUUCCUAUUUAGCAUCGAGAGUAGCUAAGUCUACCUUUAAUGAUUGACGAUGGUUUUCCUAUAUACACUUAGAGUUUAAAGCAUCCACAAUCUGAGAUGCAAUAAUAGCUAAACGUUCGCUUUGUACUUCUAGAGAUAUAUUUAUAGAAUGGGUGCGUCACAUUGCAUUGAGGUGAUCUACACUUUCCAUGUACUUCUCAAUCUGAGACUUUAAUGGUGAAGGGUUCACUCCAAUCUUUGUGAUAACAUUGAAAAGCUCAUCAAUUUUUCCUCUUAAUAAUGGGAGACAUUUAUUUGGAAAUUUUAAUAAUCAUCACCUUAGUGCCUUCUCCUAUCAUAAGUGCUUCUUGGCGUUAGGCAUUAAGGAUGAUUUGUUUGACGUCGAAUGUGUGAAUGGAAGUAGAAGGAGCAACCACGGUAGGACAUGUAGAUUGUUGUUCAGUAAUUAAACCUAUAAAUGCUAAAAUUGUUAAUUCAUCAUAUGUUGUAUCUCUAAUUGUGGUCUUUUGACCUCGAGAUUCAAUCAGAACAUCACUUAAGAUGUUAGUAAUACCUUUAUCACCCAAAUAAGAAUGAGACAAAGGUAAUGGGAUGAUAGAGUGAUUAUCUUGUUGUAUGGUCAAGGUAAAGGGUGCUGACUCCCUAAUAGCAAUAGUACUUUCGAACUGAUCCUUAGGAGAGGACUCAUCCCCUUCAUUGACAAAUUGGUUGUCACCCGCCACCUAAGGCAAAUAAUUAUUUUUGUUAGUAUCAAUGCAAAAAAAAAAAAAAAAAAACCUUUUCACCAUCAAGUUCCAUCGCUUGAGUAGAAGUUAGGACGUCAGCAAAGAAGACAUUUACAUCAAGAUGAUAAGAGUUAGUCUCAUCAUAGUACAUAGGGUUGGGUCUAAUUUUUUUCCAUUUGAAGUAACAUUCACUUGUAUCUUCAAAGUUUUUGUUUGAUACAUAAAGACCCUGUGCAUUGUUAUGUUGCUUAAAAGUCUUGUGACAGUGAGUAUUACCACCGUUGAAAAUAGUUUCCUCAUGCUCUGAGUGUGUGGAGGUAUUAGUUUGAUGUCCACCCAUUGAGCGCUUAGAAGAAGCUCUUGAAUCAUCAGGUAAAUCAUCAAAAUCCUUCUCAACAUUGUCUCUAAUAUUCCCCUUAGUAGAAACACUUAAGUCAACCUUGCGCGUUCUACUCUCUAAAGAUCUAGAGGGUAUUUGCCAAGAAGAAUUAGGAGGGGGCUCCAUACAAGUAGUAGUAAGAAUUUCUUUAUCAGGAUUACGUACUCUGAUCCACCAAUCCGCAUAAGCCAAUCUGGUAUAGUAACUUUGGAGUAGGUACCAAGCCUAGUACAUGACUGCCAAUGUUGAUACACCGCCUUUAAAGUUCUAGUGUGAAAAAUCUCUAGCGAACUCUCCGGAAGGUCUUGAAGAUAUACAAACUGCCUAGAAAACCGAUGAGGAUAAUACAGUUGGAUUACCCAAUGAUUACCUUGUCGCAAAGAUAAAUAGUUAGAGUGAAGACUUAUGAGAUAAGAAGCUUUGGUAACACUAAUAGAUUCAUUAUCAGUCCAGUGCACAUGCCUCUUGUGGCGCAAUGCCAAGUGGUCUAGCUUUACGCCUUUGCAAGACAUUAUCAAAGCCUAAGCUUGCAAAUCAUCAAAACACUUAACAAAAAACUCGCCAGUGUAAUAAGUCAUCCGUGGGGGAUGGCUCCAAGAAGGAGAAAUGAAAUGGGUAUCGAAAUAUUCAUUUAACCAUCCGUAUAAGUAAUGAAUAGGGAAAAUAGAUGCAUUAGUCCCAGGCUUUGAAGAAUAAGUGAUUUUAUUUAAGCUGUUGUAAAUACUUCCUAACACCAAAACAACAAGGCUAAAUGUCUCACCUUGAGCCAUUUUACUAGCUACCUUGAAGACUUUAGGAUGAAUCAAAUUGACACCUCCCAAGGAAGAACGAACUUGUAUAACCAACAUGCUAAGAAAGCGCCUAAGUAUCCUUCACAUCUGCCUCAGCUAUGCCAAGGUUGUAAAAAAUUUCCAUCUCUGACUGAAUACGAGAUUUAAUAGGAUCAAUUUCCCCAGAGGGGUUAUGAGUCUCCUUAGGCCUUUACGCCUUAUUCCUUGUACUUUUAUUUGGAAGUUUUGCAUACUUCAUGGAGCCUUUAUACCAAAAUGACACCCAAGAGGCUAACUUGACUGAAGACUUCCCUUUCGUGUUAGAGCAAAUUCGAUGAUAUGCAAGGAAUAAGUUUUGACAACUUGGUGGGAGUGAGGGCUUUGUCACAUCAUUAGAUAACUCUUCCAUGCUCGGUACCAUCUCAUCAUAAAAAGAUCCAAUGAUGGGUAGUCCAACAAUAUGAUACAAGUCCCAAAGAGAGAUGGAAACCUCUCUAAUGGAAGUAUGCAAGGUGUUAGUGGUAGGACACCAACGUUCACAAAAGGCCCUAAUCACAGAGGCAUGACAAUCAUAGCUGAAUAAGGACGCAAAAAUAGCUUCAUAAAGCUUACAUCCUUUAAGAAAUGGUCCAUGCCGGUCCAAUACCUCCUCUACCCAUUCCCAAUAUCCUUCGAUAAAGAAAUAUUCCCUUAGUACUUUGAAUGAACUUCCCCAUUUAGCUUCUCCGUCAUGAACACAAGAACCAAACUAUCCAAAUUCAUCAUGAACUUUAGUAGUAGUUGGGUGAGAGGAAUUCAACAACAGAACAUCAGAAACAAGUUUCACCUUAUUGAGUUUUGAAUUGCCGAUAUUUGUAAGCUUGCAAGAUGCAACUCGGGACAAGGAAGAAAUGUGUAAUGGGUCCUUUGUCACUGGUACUGACAAAGAUUGAAGGUCAGUAAGUGACUUAUGCACUGACAAGGUAGUCCCCUCCUCAAAAUCUUCACUAUCAUCCUCAAGAAUAGUUACAAUCUUCUAUUUGAAACAUUUGAAGAACGCCAUCCUACAUAAAAAGGAAAAAGAAGGUAGAGAGAGAGAUAAAUAAAACAUGGGUAUAAGUUUUUAGAUACCACUAUGCAUUUAAGUCAGAUCAAUUCACAUGAGUGAAGACCUUAGCACUUAAGUCAUAUAAAGUGUUGAAAGUACAAUACCGCAUAGCAUCAGGGCCAUAACUUGUUUGCAUAGAUACCGAGUAUUAUUCUAGUUUUAAUUAAAUGUUAAAACUUGAACACAACUAUGCAUUCAAGUCAAGACAAUUUGCAUAGGUGAAGACUUUAGCACAUAAGUGUUGAAAAUACAACACCGCAUAACAUUAGGGCCAUAACUUGUCUACAUAGAUAACAAGUAUUAUUAUGGUUUUAAUUAAAUAUUAAAACUUGAACACCACUAUGCAUUCAAGUCAAUCCAAUUUGCAUGGGUGAAGACUUUAGCACAUAAGUGCUAAAAAUACGACACCGCUUCGCGUCAAGGCUACGAAUUGAUUACAUGAGGGUCAAACUUUAAAUAUUCAUAUGUUUUUUUAUUUUUUAUUUUUAUUUAUUUUUUAUUUUUUAUUUUAUGGAUAUUUAAGUUUAUUAAAAAUUUCCCUCAAGUACUAAGGUAAUUUAAAAAUAAAUAAAUAAAUAAAAUUAAAUUACCUGAAAUCAAAUUCGUCUCUACGAAUAAUGGAGGCUAACAUGUGUUCGAAAAAGGUGAAUCUUUUUCUUCCUUGACAAAAAAAAAAUGAAUAAAAAGAUCACGUGUCAACAUAUAUAUAUAUAUAUCCAUCCAUUUUUUCAGGAGAUCACGUGAAUGGAUUUUAUAUAUAUAUACAUAUAUUAAAUCCUCAUCCUUACAUCAAUAUAUAGAUAUAUAGCCUAGUGAUGACGUCUCCCAAGGCAACCAACAUUGAGGCUCUGUCCCCAUUGACUUCGACAUACACCCACCAAGCUCCAAAAUAUAUAUAUGCAUUUAAAAAAAAAAUACUUACAGGUUUGAAGAGGUGAAGACUUCUUACGGUAAUUCAAGUCAAGUUUCUUAAAAUUGGGUUGAAAAUCACCCAAAAAUUCAAAAAAAAUAAAAGAAUAUGAAAGGAUUCAAGUCGGGUUUCUCAAGUUGGGUCAAAGAACACUCAAAGAUCAAAAAAGCUCUUUGAAAAAGUUCAAGUCAAAUUUCUUAGCUAUUGUCCCUUUUAUAUAUAAAAAAAACGUAUAUGGGGAUGACAAAUUGGAAGAUGAUUGAAAGUGUAAAGUAAGAAGGAAAACAAAUUGGAAGAGGAUUCAAAGUGUAAAGCAAAAAAGGAAAACAAAGUGGAGUUUGGAAAAAAGUGGGAAAGAAAUAUUUUUUUUGGAAAAAAAAAAAACUUCAAGACUCACCCCAUCCACAUGACAAUGCAUAUAUGUGAUGCGUCUUGAAGUGGGGGUAUUUGUAGACAUAAAAAAAAUUAGUGGAUUAAAUUACCACUAAUUUUGUUUUCAAAAUGAAUAAAAAAAAUCCUCUUAUGGAUAAGUUUCUCUAAUCUCCAACUAUAGAAAGGAUAAUAAUAACAAUAAAAAAACUAUUAUUAUUAUUAUUAUUAUUAUUAUUAUUAUUAUUAUUAUCUUGUUGGUAAAACCUUCCAGGAUUUUUUUUUUCUAAAAUCAAGGAACUAAAUCCUUUAAAUUAAGCAACUAAACUCUGAGAAUUUGAAAUUCAAAUUUUAUAUCUUCACCUAUAAAUAGAGGUGUCUUUUUUCAAGAAAGGAGGGGAAGAAAUCGAGAAAAAAAAAUCCAGAAAGGAAAAUCUUAAGGAGGAAAUCCAAAGGAAACUUUGUAUGGGAAAAGGGGCUUCACAACAAAAGAAAAAGCUUCAUCAAAUUUCUCUGCAAGUUCGGUACAUGGUAGAACUGCUAAACACGCUCACCGCUAUUUAACGAGUUCAUUAAGGAAUAAGCCACUUGUGGCCCUCAAUUGAUCUUCGAAAUUAAGAAAAUGUCAUCGUUGUUUUCCAAAGUGUGAUCAAGAUGAAAGAAUCAGAGGGAUAAUAUUUUUUUGGAAAUAAUAUUAUUUUUGAGAUUGUACCCACAAUAUUUUUAAUUUUAAUAAAUAUUUUGUUUGCAUUAUUUUCCUAUUUGUUUUGCUAAUUUUGUAGGACCAUUUACGAAAUUUAUGUGUACAUACUCUUUUAUGAACAAGGUAGUGUAGAAAAAGUGUAACACUUUUUUUUUUAACUCAGGUAACUCAAGUAAUAUAUCAUUUCUACCAUAGUGAAUCCAUUCUUCUUCUUUAGCGUAUAAAAAGUGACUCCGUUCUUCUUUAGCACAUUAACUUGAAUACGCAACUCAAGUAAUAUAUCAUUUCUACCAUAGUACUUUUAGCAUUUUAGUGGUAUUUUUUUUCUCAUAAAAAUGUGUACCCUUUGAAUAAGCAACCUUUGAGGUGCACAACUUAAUGUUUUAAGAGGGUGCACUAUUUUUUCCUAGCGCAUUUGAAAUGUGUACAACUUCACUAUGCAAAAAAACAUUAUUUUUUAAUAAAAUUAAGAUCAAAUUAAUAUAAAUGAUUAAAUACAAUUUUUAUGAAAAAAAUAUAUUUUAUUUUUUAUUUAUAUAAAUAAAAAUAAAAAAUUUAAUAAAACAAAAUAUUAGAGCCACAACCAAUUUUCUAUCUUAUAUAAUUAAAAAUAUUAAACAUUUUAACCAAGAAGAAAAUUAAAAUUGUGAUCAAGUUACAUCCAUAAGCAAAAAGUUAAAAUAGUGAUUAUCGACUCUAACUUUCACAUAAAAAUUUAACAAUUUUUUAAAAAUAUAAACAAUAAAAUAAUAUGACAAUGUAAUAGGAUUAUAAAAUAAAUAGAUAUUUUAUUUAGGAGGAAUAUAGAAAAUCUUAUGUCCUAAGCUUCUAAAUUUGUUCAUAAUGAAUUUAUUUUUAUAUUAAAUUUGUUUUCAUUAAUUAUUUCUUAUAUAUUUUUAUUUUGUGUCUAGAAUAUCCAUAAAUAAUUGAAAUCGGUAAAUGUAAAAGAAGAAAUAAUGAAAAAAUAAAAUUAAAAAGAUUUCAUGAAGUCAACACAUUAGAAAAUAAGAACAGAAAGGUAGAGAUAUUACGAAGGAGAGGAAAAAGAAAAAAGAAAAAUCAUAUGACAUGGUUGUCAUAUUAAAGUAAAAAGAAAAAAAAAUAAAAUUUUGUAGUAAUUAACUGUGAAAGGAGAUCGAGGGUUACAGGGUAAUUUUAAAAUUUUGAUGAUUUCACUAUUGAAAUACAUGUUUCUAGAAUUAAUUUUUCCAAGAUGUAUGUACUUUAAAAUUUAAAAUUUAAAACUUUAAAUUUUUUAUAUUUUUUAGUUGUUGCAUGAAUAUUACAUCAUUCUCCAUGAAUAGAAUGUGAUAGGGCAUGGUUUUUAAAUCACUUUUAUAAUAAUUUUUUUAUAAUUAACAAGUUUGGCAAAAGAUAUUCUUAAAUGAUUUAAUUUAUAUUCAAUGCUAGUAGUCAUUUUAAUUGGAUAAACUUUUCAAAAGCAAAUUUGAAGAAUUUGGGUCAAAUGUAAUGUGCAUUUUUGUAGGGCCCUCCCAAUGGACCUCGUAAUGCCAAAACUUCUGGCCUUCAUGUUUUGUCAACUUGUUCACACAAUAAGCUCACGAGCUUUACCUUGCUUUAUCUUGUGAGACUUUGAUAUAUGCUUUGUUUGUAUUAAAGAGGUAAAAAAGUUCUUAACCACCAUUCCAUUUUGCACUAAAAAAAAAUUGAUAUAGACAUGCCAAUUGACUUUGUGUGUCAAAUAUUGUCAUGAUGCAUAUGAGAAAAUAAUGUGUCAUUUGACUCCUUUGAGUCAAAUCUUGCCUUUAAGUACAGAGAAAUAUUUGAGAAAUCGCAAGCAUUUUUUCUUUGUUGUUCAUUAAUAUAUGGAAUAGGUUGACCUUUGAAUUAGUCAAGGACAUGGUAGGUCUUUUGGUCUUAUUUUUACUCAAAUUUAUUUGACUCAAAACUGAAGUAGCAUUAAAAAUGAUACUUCAUGUGGUUGUAAAUUUACAUUUCCUAAGGGUUUUCUUCCCUAUUUGAACCAAAAAUUGAUUUUUAGGGUUAGAGGAACACCUCCCCUACAACAGUCAGACAAACUCCAUUGAGUUCCUCUUCCAUUCAAAGAGUGGGUGUGUUUGUUUCCCAAGAAAAUCUAACCCAUUUUAAGUUCAAAAUAAAUUUUUAUCAAAUUUUUCUUUAGAGCUUGGGUUGAUUCAUUUGGUUCUUCCAAAGAUGAGAACUUUUAACUCAAUGACCCAAUCAAAUUACAUGCAUAAUAACAUGAAAAUCUAGAAACUUAAGUAUUACCGUUUCUAAAUAUGACAACUUUUAAUUCAACAACCCAAUCAAAUAAUCAUGCAUAAUAACGAGAAAAAUCUAAAAACCUAAGAACUACCGUUUCCGAAGAUAUGGACUUUUAAUCUAAUAAACCCAUCAAAUAACAUGCAUAGUAACAAGAGAAUCUAAAACCCCUAAGAACUAACAUUGCCAAUUUAACCCAAUAACCCAAUCAACUAACAUGCAUAAUAACUAGAGAAUAUAAAAAAACCCUAAGAACUAAUCAUUGAAACAUGAAAAUUUUGAUAGUAUGGGAAUAACCUAUAAACCUUAAAAUUAUCAAACUUUGAAAAGUAAGAUUUUUAAUAAAAUAGCAUUCUAACACCAUGAAUGAUAACUAGAAAAUUUAAAACCGAACCAAAAUUUUCAAGAUAAGACUUCUAAGAAAAUAGCAUUUUGAUAACAUGAAUAGUAACUAGAAAAAUUAAAACCUAACCAAAAUGUUCAAGAUGAGACUUUCAAUGAAAUAGAAUUCUAAUAUCAUAAAAUAUGUUCCAAAAAAUUUAAAACCUAACCAAAUUUUUGUAUAACCAACUUUUCAAGAUGGGAAUUUUUAAUAAAGUAACAUUCUAAUAACAUAAGAAGUGUACUUGAAUAUGUCUAAGUAUGUUGUCCUAAAGGAGCACUUAAAAAGAAGCUAUUCUAAAAAGAGAAAAGGAAAAUCCUAGAUCUAACUUGGGGUUUCCAAGGGUCACAAUGAGGGGCUAGAUAAAUCCCUCAACUAGAGUCUUUGAGAUGGCUAAAAAAGGUAAGUUGUGUGAGUUGAAAAUGGGCCACCAGGGAGACUACUGCAAAGUAUGAAAAUAGCACUUAAUAGGGCAUGUGCUAACGUAACAAAUGGAAAGUCUACACUUGCAUGCUAGAUUUAUUCUAAGUUGUGCUCACAUCUAUUUUGCAAGGUUGUUUUAUUCAUCUCAUGGACCCUAAGGAUGAAUGAAUGAAAUGCUUUUAUUAAUUCAAUUGAAUGAAUGAAUAUGAAUGGAUAUGAUCUUUGCCAUUUGAUUCUCUAGUUUGGGUUGUGCACCCCAUGAGGGGUACAAGAUUUUUAUUUUAUUGUAAAAAUAUUUUCUUUUCAAUAGAUGGGUUGUAAGCUCCAUUAUAGGAGCAUAUAAUUUUAUUUUUUAUUUUUUUGAUUGUAAAUUUUUUUUUUUAUCCAUUUAUGGUGACCCAAAAGGAAAGGAAAAAUUCUUAAAUUUUCAUUUUUGAGAUCCUAUGGUGACUUAAGAAAAAAGAAAGAUUCUUGAAAGUUCUUGAUUUGAGAUCCUAAUUUGACUCAAAAUUGGGACAAAUCAUAUAUGGUUUUGAAGCUUAGGAAGUUAGGAAUCCAAUGCUUCAAACAAUUUUCUAUUCGGAGUUGAAAUGAGGAAGAUAUAGUCAAUUGAAGUAAGGUUGUACAAAGAGCAUACUAUUUCAGAAUUAAGUUCGGGCCAAAUUGUUUUUGGUUAUUUGGGCUUCUUUUUUAGCUUUUUUUUUUUUUUUUUUUUUUUUUGUGGAAAUUCGACAUUUUAGGGUUUUGUCAAUUUUUACUAACUAAUCUUUGGUUGUAAGAAUAUUUUGAUAAUUUGAAUUUUGUCCAAUUUUUAAUUACCAAAUAUGCAAUAGGAUCCCUAAAGUUCAUGAGAAAUAUUUAUUUAAUUAUUUCCUUGUUUUUAUUUUAUGUUAUCUUUAUUACUUGCUUAUGUGACCUAAAAUAGGAUAAUUUGGUAUUCUUAAUUAGAUAUAAAUUUUCAUGGGCUUUUUCAAAAUAGGAAAACUUAUUUAAAUUGGAAUGUGUAUUGUUAGGAAAUUUAUUUUAAGAAAAGAUAAGUUAGAAAAGAAUUAAGAGUUUCCAUUCCUUUUAAAAAUUAAUUCUUAAUGAUUUUAAUUUUAUUUAAAAUUUUCUUAGAUCUUUGAGAUCUCUAAGAAUAAAAUCUUUCUUUUAAUGAAAAAACUCUUGUUUUUCCAAAUCUUUAUAAAAUAAUAUUUUUCCUAUUUUGCACAAGGUUUUGAUUUAAAGAAAAUAAGUUGAUUUUGAAAAUUCAUAAUAGAUAAUUUAUAAUUAAGAAGGUUACCAAAAUAAGUAUUCAAACCUAAAGAAAAAUGUUUUGGUAUUCUCUAUAAAUUUUCAUGAAAAGAUUUUUCCAAGAUUAUAUAUUUGAAUUGGUUGUUGCUAAUGAGAAUCUUAUUCAUUUGGAACUAUCAUUUUGAUUUUGGUAUAGAUGCUUCUCCAAGCUACUACACCAUACCUAAGAUGGUCCUUCAGGCUCUCUCCUCCUGAGAUAAGGAGGAAACCCCUAUUUGGAUAUGGAUAGUUCAAAAAUAAAGACUAAGAGAGCAAUUUUGUUUAGCAAACGAGUCUUAGUUUAAAAGAUAAAUAACGGAUUUGAAAAACCUCAUGAUAAGAAGGGUUUUCAAUCUUGUAUGUAGAGGUGUCUAAUGGGUCGUGUUGGGCUGACAUGACCUAAUAUUGAUCGGGCCAUUAGGGGCCAAUGUGUCGGGUUGGGUCGACCCAUGCAAGCCAAAUAGGUGACUCGACACGGCCCAUAAGUCCAUGGGCUAAUCGUGUCAUGCUGGGUCGGGUCGUGCUGUGCCGGUGGGCCAUGGCCCAUGGGCCACUCACUUUGUUAAAAAUUUUAAUUUAAUUUUUUAAGUCAUUUUUUCUUAAGUUUUUUCCUUAUUAAAUAAAUUUUAUUUUUGUUACUUUAAACACCUCUAAUAAUUAUAUUUUUAUUUUAUUUUUUAUAUACUUCUAAUAAUUAUACUUUUUAUUUUUUACAUUUAUAUUUAUUGAGUUUGUAAUUGUAAAAUUUAUAGAAAUAUUAGUUUUUUGUUUUUAAAAAUAGUAAAAAAAAAUUACAUUUGAAUUUGUUUAUUUUAUUUUUAUCAAAAUAACAAUAAAUUUAAAAUAAUGGAAUAUAAAAGGAAAUGAAAUAUAAAAAAAUAAUUCUUUUAUUCAAUAUUUCAACAAAUUACAUGAAAAAAUAAUGAGAAAAAAAAAACAAAAGUGAGAAUUGCAUCACUAUAGUUUGAGUACAUCCCAACUAGGUUGGCACCCACCCAACUAUCAAUCAUAUGCAUUACUUAACCUUUAAAAAUUAACUACAUUUAAUAGAUUUAAAAGAAACGAACAACAUAUAAUUCUUCAAUUAUCAUAUUCACUUUUGUCUUCUUAUUCAAUCUUCAUUCUUAUUUUUUCAUCUUCAAUCAUCAUCAAUCUCUUGAACAUCAUUGUUUGCAUUGAGAUGCAAUUUCUUGAAGGCUUCUUUAAGUUCAUCCUCUAAAGUUUGACAUGAAAAAAGUAAAAAUAGUUAUUGAUUUACUUUUUUUACCCCUCAAACUAGUUGUAAUAUAAUUGUUAAGAGGGGUAUUAUAGACAUUUGACAUGUAAUAAAAAGUAAACACUAAAAGGUGAAAUUUAAAAGGGCCAAGUGGGUCGACACGGUGGGCCGACGGGUUGUUUCUUUAGGCCUAGCAUGGCCUGCUCCUUUGGGUCGUGUUGUCUUAGCUUGCUAUAGUGUUAGGCCAUACUGGCCUUGCCUGACCUUUUGGCGUGCCGAGCCACGGGCCAAAAUGGGCAGCCCGACCCAAUGACCCAGAUUUCAUUAUACAUUUGAAUGGUUUGAAUUGGAAGUUUGAUUUAGGACAAAAUCAAUAACCAUUAAAAAAAGAAAGAAUAUUGUAACACCGUUCAUACCUAUUGACUUUCGUUUUUAAUACUAUUGAAAAUUUUCACGAAUGAGAAGGCAACAAAGCAAGAAUUCUUAAGAUUCUAACUAUGCUACAGUCAUGAAAGAAGAAAAAGGGGGGAGAAGUAAUGUUUUUAUACUACAACCCACAAUCAUGAAAUAAGAAAAAAGAAAAUUCCAAAAAAUAUAGACCAAACAACAAGAACUUGCUUAGGCAUCUUCUAUACGUGAUCCUUUCUUGUCACUUGUUUUUUUUCCAUACUGGAAUGUAAAAUCCUACCAUGAGUGUUAAAAUAAGAUUGCCAUACUUAUUAACCAAUUAGUGAGUAAUUCCUACAAGUGAUAGUUUCUUAUAAUACACAUAUUUCUUGUUUACUUGAGCGCUAGUAGUAAUGAUCAUAAUUUUAAUAUAUUGAGAAUGUAAAAUUUUCUAGCAACAAAUAUAUUUAGCCCAUUGUAUUACAAAAAAGUACUAAAUGAAGAAAAAAAAUAGAGAUGGAAAGAAAUCUAAAUUCUCUUUAGUUCAAAGGUAUAAAAUAAAAUCAAAUAUAAUAAAAAAAUUCAAAAUUUUUCAAUCUUUAUGUAGAAUAGAAAAAAGAAGAAGAAAAAGGAUACUCUUGGUGAAACAUGUAAGAAAUGUUAAUUGAAUUUAAAUUUAUUUUUCAUUUUAUUAUUUUUUUAAAAACUUUUUAUUGUUUUAAAUUAAGAAAUAUACUAAAGACAUAGGUUUUAGUGAUUGCCAUAUGUUGGUAAUAAGCAGGGAAUGUCACUAAAAAAUACAAUAUAUUUUAAUUAAAUGUUACCAAGUAUUGUAUAAUGAAUGAGAGAUGAAUGUUCAAAGAACUCAACCCCUUUUUCUUUUUAGAAAAUCCAUUAGAAAAUUUUUCUUGAAGACUUGAAUAAGAUUUCCUUGGAAAGCAAACAACCUCCAAAAGAGGAAGGGAAUGAAGAGCUCACUCACCGAUUGUUGCUCUCUACAAGCUCUCUCCUCCUGAGAUAAGGAAGAAACCCCUAUUUGGAUAUGGAUAGUUCAAAGAUAAGGACUAAUUAGAAAACAAUUUUUUUAACACACGAGUCUUAGUUUAAAAAAUAAAUAACGGAUUUGAAAAAUCUCAUGAUAAGAAGGGUUUUCAAUCUUGUAUAUUUAUAUUGUCAUUCAAUGACUUAAAUUUCAUUAUACAUUUGAAUGGUCUGAAUUGAAAGUUUGAUGUAGGACAAAAUCAAUACCCAUUAAAAAAGGAAAGAAUAUCGUAACACCAUUCAUACCUAUUGACUCUCCUUUUUAAUACUAUUGAAAAUUUUCACAAAUGAGAAAGCAACAAAGCAAGGAUUCCUAAGAUUCUAACUAUGCUACAAUCAUGAAAGAAGAACAAAGAAAAUUCCAAAAAUAUAGACCAAACAACAAGAACUUGCUUGGGCAUCUUCAGUAAGUGAUCAUUUCUUGUCACUUGUUUUUUUCCAUAUUGGAAUGUAAAAUCCUACCAUGAGUGUUAAGAUAAGAUUGCCAUAAAAGAAAUUAUCAAAUAUGACAAUAUUUUUUCUAAUUUUCAAAGAAUUAUCAAAUAUGACACUAAAUUUUCAAAAUAACACUAAAUUUCUUUCUAUUUUGGAUUUAAAAGUGAGUAGUAAAACUAAAAUUAUCAAAUAUGACAAUAUUUUUUCUAUUUUUCAAAGAAUUUCGAAAGCAUUAUAUUUAAUUAAAAACACUUGGCUGAUAAAUAAAUAAACUGAAAACAUGGGAAUUCUGGAGAGCUACGAAACGGAGAUAAGAAUAUAAUUAAGGAAAAUGAAAGUGAAAGCCAAGGAAUGAGCAUCAUCACCUCCUAGAAGUAUCUAACCCACCUCGCUGAAGUUUGCUAUAAAUACCUAACAAUUUCCCUUGAGUUCAUCAAUGCUUGAGUUUGAAUCUUAUCAAUCACAGUAGUAGCAAUGGCAGACGAGAUUAUCUUGUUGGAUUUCUGGCCUAGCCCGUUUGGUAUGAGGGUCAGAGUUGCCCUGGCAGAGAAGGGUCUCAAGUAUGAAUAUAGAGAGGAGGACCCGAGGAACAAGAACCCUCUGCUUCUUGAGAUGAACCCCGUUCAUAAGAAAAUCCCAGUUCUGAUCCACAAUGGAAAGCCCAUUUGUGAGUCUAUGAUAAUAGUUCAGUAUAUUGAUGAGGUUUGGAACAAAAAAUCUCCGUUGUUGCCUAGUGACCCAUACCAGAGAGCUCAGGCCAGGUUCUGGGCGGACUACAUAGACAAGAAGGUAUGCCUUUUCUGUUGAUUUAAAGCAUUCUUUUCCAUUGAUUCAUGGCGAUUGACUCACAUUUUGAUUAUGGUGAGGGAUUUAUCCAAAAUGCUAGUUCUUCACAUAUUCUCUUCUGAUAUUGAGUUUUGUUGGCUUUGGUGUCCCAAACUAGAACUUUACUGAUUCUCUUGCUGUUUCUUCAACAAGACUCCCCUCUGCAUUUCUGAUAUGGGUUUUUAUUUCUUUGUUCUGUUGAAUCCGACGUCUGUUCGUUCCAUCCAAAAAAGCAGAUCUCAAGAAUACCUUUUCCCCCAAGAAAGGGAAUACAUAAACCAGAAUUUUAAAGAACAGAUUUUGGUUUUUCGUUAUCCUGCUGUUCAACAUUUUGCACAACAGUUGUUUUAAUAUAUGUUCUGUCUUUUUGAUCUCUUUCUUCUCAUUUCUUUAACACAAAUUGAGGGGAAAAACUUUAGCAAAUGAUACAUUCUUUCAACUGAUUCUGAUAUUUUUCCUAGGAUACGAGAUUUCUAUGCCGAAGGGUCGUUAAUAAACUUGCCCAACUAUACAGAAAGUUUGAAACUUGAUGAAAUGCUUCCAAAAGAAAAAAAAAAAACCCUUUUCUCUCUUUGACUCCAUUACUUUCCACAGCUCUAUGAACUUGGAAGGAGGAUAUGGUCAACCAAAGGAGAAGAGCAGGAAACAGCCAAGAAUGAAUUCAUAGAGUACCUUAAGAUUUUGGAAGGAGAGCUUGGAGAGAAGCCUUACUUCGGUGGUGAGAAAUUUGGGUUUGUGGAUGUGGCUCUGGUGACUUUCUCAACCUUGUUUUAUGCGUAUGAGAGCUUUGGUAACUUCAGCAUAGAGGUGGAGUGCCCCAAGUUGAUCGCUUGGACCAAGAGGUGCAUGGAAAAGGAGAGUGUGUCGUCUUCUCUGAAAGACCCACAGAAGGUCCAUGGCUUUGUCAUGGAGAUGAGGAAGAAGCUUGGUAUAGAGUAAAAGGGGAACAUCAUGUGUGGGGGUCUUUCCAUCGAAGACCCACACAAGGUCCAUGACUUUGUCUUGUGGAUGAGAAAGAAGUUCCGUGUAGAAUAAAAGGGCUUUUGAAUCGUGUUGUAUUGGUAAUAUGAGAGGAGUGUUUGCUUUAAGUAUGCUUUGAAGGGGCUGGAAAGAAAUGUUUACAAUUUGUUUUCUUUUGUUUUGGACUAGAGACGUGUUCUUGUAUUGAAGAAAUAAAAGAGUUUUUAACUACAUUCCAUUGUAUCAUGUCACAUAAACAAGCAUUAAAAUAAGUUGGAUAAGACAUGCCACAAAGUUGAUCAGAUGCGUAGUCUAUAAAGA